AGCCCUUCCCACCCAAUUGCUUCUUUUAAGCUUUCCCUUCCAUUAUCCUCAUAUCUCUCUCAAUCCCUAAUACACCGUCGUCUUGAUUUUUCCAUCAAUGGCCAAGUACGGCGAAGGCGACAAGCGAUGGAUCGUGGAGGAAAGACCUGACGGUGCUAAUGUCCACAACUGGCACUGGGCUGAAACCGAUUGCCUCCCUUGGUCUAAAACGUUCUUCACCAAAUUGCUUUCCGAUCUCACCAUCCUUAAUUGCCAAGGUAAUCUCAGCAUCAAGACCAAGAAGGUCGAAAAGGUCGACGGCGAAGCCUAUGUUAAUGUUCGCAAAGGUAAAAUCUUCCCGGAUAUGAAAUCAGUUUGAGUUUAUCCUGGGAAGGCGAAGCCAAAGAUGAGGAAGGGAAGACGCUGUUGAAAGCUGAAGGUAAUCUAGAGAUUCCGUACAUUUCGGAUGAGAAUGCUGACGAGGAUCCGGAAGUUAAGGUGACGAUUAAAGACGAAGGACCCAUUGCUAAAGCCUUGAAGGAAGCGAUGCUGGCCAAAGGGAAGCCUUUGGUUUUGGAGAAAGUGAGUGAUUUUGUAAAAGCUAUGGCGAAAGGUGGCCCUGUUAAAGAUGAAUUGGAAGCCAAGAAAUCGGCUCCCAAAAAUACUACUACUACUUCUACUAGUAAUAGUAACUCAGCUGCGAUGUCUAAGGAGAAAGUUGGAGUGGAGAAGGAAGCCAAAAAGGAAGUGAAGAAGGAAGGGAAGAAAGGGUUUAAGACGAUUACAAUGUCGGAGAAAAUUAAUUGUAGAGCUAAGGAUAUGUACGAGAUUUUGAUGGAUGAGAAUAGAUGGAAAGGGUUUACUCAGAGUAAUGCUAGGAUAAGUAAAGAUGUCGGUGGCCAAUUUAGUAUUUUCGAUGGAUCGGUUACUGGAAUUAACUUGGAGUUGCAAGAAGGGAAGUUGAUUUCUCAGGGAUGGAGAUUUGGGAGUUGGUCCGACGGGAUUGAUUCUACAGUAAGUUUAAUGGAUUCCGCUUUUGCCUGUUCUCCAGGUUUUUGGGAAUGCAGUGUGGUCGGAUGAUGGCUUAUCUUUACUGGGUGGUUGUUAUUGUUGCAGGUAAGACUUGUUUUCAAUGAGCCUGAGCCUGGGGUUACUGUAAUCAAACUCACGCAUUCAGAUGUUCCCGAGGAGGACAGGUUGGUUUUUGUUUGUUUUAUUGCGUAGCAUGGCUAAUUUCUUACUUACUGGAUUUAGUUAUCGAUUCUGUGUUUGUUUUUGCUUUGAUUUGUGAUGCAGAUAUGGGAAUGCAACUGUGGUGGAGAACACUGAGAGAGGUUGGAGAGACCUUACUUUCAAUAAGAUACGGGCAGUAUUUGGUUUUGGAAUAUGAUUAAUUUUAUUCCAAAACGAGGAAUUCUUUUUUGGGUUUGAAUUAUUGGAACUUCAUGAAGAAUUGGAACUUCAUGAAGACUUAUUCUUUCAACUAUUUUAUUGUGAAAGAUUUAUAAGACUUUGCAACUCUGAUCUUGGUCUACUGGUUCAUGGUUUUAAAGUUGAAACUUGGACCGAGUGUCUCUGUUGUCUUGUUUGCCAAUACCCAAACUAUCCUUUUAGACUUAUAAUAAUGACAAUGAUGAAAAUGUUGCCUUCCAGCAACUUAAAGUCUGUCAGGGCGCAGAGUGUCUCCUUGAGGAUGUAUAUCCUUUGUGUACAUAUUAAUGUUAUGAUGUUACUUAAGGGCGAAAUUUGGUUUGGGUUGCUGGUUUAUUUUUCUGCCGCUUUAAUGUAUUGAUCUUGAUGAUACUGAAUAAAAGCUCAAAUUGAAUUGUUCUCUUUCUUCUGUUGGAAGCAUACAGACUUUUUUGGCAUUGGGUCUUAGAAUGAUCAAUCACUCACAGGCAAGGUGAAGUUUGUGGGUUGCUUCACUAGAGUGUCCAUGGUUUUACAAUAAAAUUAGGGAUCUCAUACAAUUUUCUCUGCAUAGUUUGUGAUUAUGUAUUUUGAAGCUAAAUGAUAAUCUAGUUAAUGUAGGUUUUGGAUUAUCCAUUGCUUUUGAAAAAUUUUUAAUGGUUUACAUCAUAUCUGGUGCUUGGACCAUGGUUAGCUUAGCUACCGAUUCUAUAGUUUGUUAUUCUUUGAGAGUAUAAGUGGAAACAUGAUUUUGUUUCUGUUACCAGAGUGGGCACAAUAAUCUAGCAUCUUGACAUACGGCUGUUUAUGUGUUUAGUUGUUCAAAAUGAAGCGCUAGUAGUGUUGGCCCUGGGAAGAGCAGGAAUCAUCUUUGGUCCACUUAAUUCAGAGUGUGCAUAGGUACAACGAAAAUCAUGAGGUUAGAAAAGGAAAUAAUCAAAUUGUCGUUCCUCAAUUGAUAGCAUAUGGCUAACUGUUGUUGUUUAGUUAUAUGUAUGCAUCUCAUUGCAAAUGUCUUUGUAGUAAAAGAGUUAAAGAGAGCUUCAUAUACAGGGAUUAAGAUGUGUUUUUAGUACUGUAAGGCGCAUGUCUCCAACUAGAUACUUCGAUUAGUCGUAGUGGAGAACGUUCCAAGAUGUAAUUUGUGAAGAUAGAUAAAUCAUUUAGUACCACGGUUAGUAGCAGAUGUGCUGUUACAUGUGUUUUAUGUGUACAUAACAGCUCCAAAUCCAAUGUCUUUUAGGUAGCAUGUAAGGAUUCUUAGGUUGGAUAUGAUUAAAGUUCAUUUUGCAUUCAGAAACUUCAAUUCAUUCCCUAAGGCCUUUUAGCUUUAUCAAGAACCGUAUACUUUUGUAUUCUCUUACGUAUUUCUGCAUAGCAGAGGGUCCAAGUUCUUUAUGUACAGGCAUGGUGAAAUCUUUCACCUAGAAAAAUUUUGCCACAGAUGUUUAGCAGGGAGCCCCAGCUUGGACACAAUAUGAGAUUGAGUUCAUCUGCCCUGUUAGAGCUAUAGGUGUACUAACAUAUAUCUUUAUGGGUAAUAAUGAUGGGAAUUUUUAACUCUAGAAGUAAAGUUAAAAUUUUGUCUCAUGUUCUAUUUAUUUAGUUAUUAACUUUUAAAUACAAUUUAAAAUCUAUGGUAAAAUCUCAAUCUCGUAGAAAAUUAUUAAUGUCAGUACUAAAUAAUUAUCUUUGUUUCCCCAUACGAUUCUUUGUUCUUUCCAUUUGAACCUUCCAAGGUAUUUCUUGUUGUAAUGUGGUGUGUUCUUGGGGUCCGCAAUUUUCAUGGCUUGGACCUACUGGACCUUGGUUCUAUGAAAAUUGAAAUUGUGGCUGAUGAGAUUCUCUGGUGUGAUGCAAGUUAAUGACUAGGUUGACUUAAAUUAAAAUUUAACCAUCUCUUUUUAGGGUUGAGUUCAUUGAGUUUGAUCGGAUUGUUAAGUUUCCUUGAUAAUUUGUUUUGCUUUGGUUAUAUUAAUUUUGGGUUUAUUUUGAUCAAAUGAGUUGUUUCACAGUUUUUUAUUAAAUAUUUUUAAAAAUAAAUGAAAUUUUCAAGUAAAUAAAAAAUAUCGGUAAACUAGUUUAGGUUGGUUUUAAGAUUUCUUUGAAACUAUGGAACUUGCUUGCUUUGUUCCAUGUUUAUCAAUAUAUAUUUGAGGUGGCAAGUAUAUAUUUAUGUUUUGGAUUUUGCAGAUCUUGCAAUGUUUUAGGAAUUGGAUUGGUUGAACUGUCUAAUAGUUGGUUUUUUGUUUAAUCGAGCCUUAAAAAAAUUUAUAAAUCGGUUUGAUUGAUUUAAUUGUCUGAGCACAGAAACGAUUUGGUCUAAAUUGGUUUUAUGGGACGGACUGCUAAUUUUAUGGUCAAUUGGUUUGGUUCUGAUAUCGUCUUUUCCCCCGUAAGUCUUCUUUACAAAUGUAAUAGCACAUGAUACGUUUAUAUUGGGUUUUCACUUUCAUGUUAGAUUUUUAUAUUACUAAUAGAACGGGCGAGAGUUAUUCUUGGAGAAUGCUUUUUGUUUUUGAAAAAGUAUUUAGAUUUUUAAUUUACUUUAUUGCCUUUGCUUUGUCAAGGUUACAUGGUACAUGGUAAUGCUUUCAAAUUUUUUGUGUGCAGUUAGAAUUAUGGCAAUUAUUAUAUUAUGAUUGUGGAGAAUCUUAAAUUCUAAAUUCAAUACUUAUUGAUAUUCAGUUGUGUACUAAAUUUUAAAGAAAAUAAAACAUAAUUUAUAUAAAUUUUAACGGAAAUAUAGAUCGAAGUCCACACUGAACUUCAAUUAAAAUUAUAGCAGAACCUUUAUUUUUAAAAUUAUAAAUAGUUAAUUAAACUUGUUACUUUGACAAUAAACUAAAACAAACGGUGGUUUACUUUCUACCUAACAUUAUAUAAUUAAGUACCUCCAAUUUAUUAAGAUCUAAAGGACAAGCUGAUUGGAAUGCUAAUGAUAUUGGAGCAUUUUCUUGUCACUUGACCUAGCGACAAUAUAUAUAAUUUUGCUUACAAAGAGGAUAAUUAUUCAAAUCACGAAUGUUGAGUUUUAACAUGAAAGCUAUAUCUAGAGAGUUCCAUUUAUUUCCUCCCAAAAGGCAAAACAAUAAUAUCACUGGCAAAGGUAAUGUUGUUGAUGGGGCAUUUUAUGGAUGAGUGUCUUGUAACGAAAAGUUUUGAGUACAAUCUCGAGUAAACCUUUUACAAAGCUUUCAGAAUAGGUAUCAACAUUUCGGUUGAUUUCAAAAAGCAUCAGGUGAAGUUAAACUUGUUGGAGAGGCGAUUUGAGUAUCCCCUAGAGAAUCUAACAUUCGUUGAUAUUGAUUGUUAUGCAUGCACGUAUAUUUUUUGCUUGAUCAGAGGUAUGUUGAUGUUAAAAAAAUUUUGCAACUUAGUUUAUACAAUUUACCUUAUGUUUUAAUCAAAUUUCUCAACAACUAGUACAUAUAGUUGGGGAUUUUCCAUUUUGGCUUCCAUAUGUAGGGCGUUGUGCAAGGGAAGUAGAGUGGAGAAAGGGAACAUGAAUGGUUGCUAUGUGAUUUUAUAGUAGUGGGGUUGGUAUCUAUCGCGUGUGAAUAUGAUAUGCAAAUUGUGCAAGUAUACACGUCGGAUCAAGUAAUAAAGUGAUAAGUGAGUAUCGUUCCCACAAGGAUUGAAUUGAGGCACUAAAGUGGUCAAGUUAUUAUAAUAAAAUGCGAUUAAUGUUAUGGUAAAGCUAUGGUAAGUAUGCAGUGGCAAUUAAAAGGAAUAAUGAUGUAUGCAAUAUGUGAAAUUAAUGAAUACUUGGAAAUGCUAUGGCAAAACGAGAGUAGGAAUGUAAUGGUAAUUAUGAAAAUGAUUAUAUGAAUAAUAUGUAACUGAACAAAUUAACGACUAAGGAUGCUAUGGAAAAGAUUCUACGGCAAGGGAUAAAGGAUAUACGAUGUUGAUAUGAAAGGUCGGGAUUACUAAGAAUCUACUCUUACUGUCAGAAAUGCCUCAACAAAAUCAUACUUAACCUACUACUCAAAAAAGUUCUAAAGUGCCCUGCUUUUUUCGAAGGCAGAAACCUUAAGUUACCUUACCUGUGUCUAUAGGCCUUUAAUAUGGUACCUUGCAUUGUUUCCUUCUGUAUGAAUGCUGCUCUAUGUCUAGAGUCUACUGUAAGUAUCUGUCGAGUACUUGCUCAUAUCAUUCAACCACGGUCUAACUAAUCUAAUCUUUUCAGAAUUUAGAUUAAUUUAAGGGUAUGCUGCAUAGUCAAUUAUGUCUAGGGAUUACUCACAUACAUUUUAAAGAAUAGAAAAAUUGAAUGAAACAUUAAAAUAAUUCAGAUUCAUACUGCAUCCAUUAAAAACAGUUGAAGUUUCAUCAAAGUAACCCUAACCCUAUGAGAUUUAGCUCAUAGGUUGGCAAAUAAAAUUCAAAUCAAACAUAGUUUUCAUCACUAUAAUUCAUGAAGGAAUAGAUUAGAAAUAAUGGAAGAACGUCAGGAAGACAGUGUUCAUUUGCCCAAUCUGCACUUCAGCUGCGUAGUGUCCUGAGGUGGUUGAGAGGGGUUGCCUGCGUCUUUCCUCUUCAUGUCUCUAUUCAACCACUACAUUCUAAUUUGCUUAAGGAUAUCUACCCACAGUUUCACACCCUAGGGUUUCCUCAUUUGCUUCUUUUUAAAUUGCUUUCUUUUUUCCUUUUCAGGAUAAUUCCAAUAGCCCUAAGAUUUAUCUUCUCCUUUUUUCUAGGCAAAUUUAUCUGUUACAAGUAGAGUUGGGUUGAAACUGAUAUGCGCUGAAUGUUGAUUGGACACCUUCCCAGCAUUGCCACGGCAUACGAGCUAGCAAUCUGACCACUUUUUUUCCCCGACAAAACUUCACUCCUUUAUUUCUCCUGCCAAUACCAUAAAACACUGUUGAAACGCUGACACCCCUACAGCGCAGUGGAAAAAUAAAACACCCGGCGAUCCUAACCAUGGAUUCAUGUGUGAGGAACGAAUCGGGGUGAAAAAGGGUUUGAAAAUUACCAAAUGGUGAUUCUGAGUAGACAGCGACGCCUUGGCAAUGAGUAAUCUGAUCUACUAUUGAACCAAGCUGCAAUCUUUGAUGACUCCGACCUCUACAUAGUCCACCCAGCUGACUAUGAACGGAAGGAAUCCCUAAACAGUUUUGGAGAAGACUUUACUUUGACGGCUGCUAGACUCACCAAGCAAAGAAAAACGAGAUUUUGUAUCUUAUUAUUUUUUACGGUUUCUCAAAAUUAAAUAAAUAUAAUAAUGUUUAAAAAACUAAAAAUUAUAAUUACAUUAAUUAUAAUAAAGAUUUCGGUAAACUAUAUUUAUUUAUAUACGAACCAAAAUCAUAUUCUCAUUAUGUGUACAGCAACCUUGUACAUAUAAUGUGUUCGAUAUUUAAUUACCCAAUUAAAUUAAUUCUAUAAUUAAUUUAAUUCAUGCGACAACCAAACACAAUACCAAUUAUGUUUUAUUCCGUUCAUUUCAACUAUAGGGUGUGACCCUGUAGGUUCUUGUAACGUUAGCAGUAAUGUUAGAACGAUUCCAAUGUUACAAACAAUGAGUGGCACCUAGCAAUGUAUCAUUGCUACCUAAGUCACAAGAAAUCAUGAUUCGACAUAACCUUUUUAUGAUUAAUCUUUUAAUGCACUAAUCCUUAAGUCCUUUAUCUCUGGAUUGAACACAAGUCAUGGAAUAAUCACACUUGUAUAGUCCAUUCCAUGUUCCUUGAUAUCUUAAGUAGACUAUGAUAUACAAAUAAGUAUGACAUCUCAUAUCAGCUUAUUUGAGCAUGGUCAUGCAUUUCUAGUCUCACUCAAUCAAGUGGCCUAAGAUAUUACUCCCAUUAUGUAAGAGGGACUUAUCCUAUAUCGUUCAACCAUAUCCCUCUACAUAGACUGUGGUAUAUCCAACAUCAGCCUUUAUAGAACAACCAGUUACGGUGUACGUUUGACUGUAUCAAAAUAUACAACUCAUGAUGUUGGGAUUAUGAUGAUCUCAAGUUUGAGGAUCAUAUACAUAUUAAUCACUAUGAGUAAUGUCAUGACAAUUACAUAAUAAUCCAAGAAACAUACUCAUAACGGGUUAGUCCAAUAUGUUGUUCUCUAACACACAUAUUCAUGCAUCGAUUCUGACACUCCAUAUCAAUGACAACUCUUUAUCAUCAAUCAACUACAUGUUAGUCUUAAUGCAUUAUCGUUGUCCUAUCCAACAAUAAUACUUGACUAAGGACCUUUUAAGAAUAAUCAUAUUAUUCUCAAGACAUUAUUAUAAAAUAGUUUAUUUAUACACACAGAAAAGAAACCGAAAUAAUAAUGGUAACGCAUUAUAUUAAUAAACAUGAUAAAUCAAGUAUGUUAUUACAACCAUCUCAUGAUUGAUCUUUGGGCAUACUCUAACAAACACAACCCUUCCACGAGCAAUUAAAAACACCUAAUAUUUAAACGCAACCCAAGUUCUAAUGCAAUGCUAAAAAUACUAAUGAAAUGUCCUAAAAUGCAACUAGAUGUACUUAAGUACAGGCAAUUAACUAGGUCCAAAGGCAUAAAAUACGACUCUUUUUAAGAGUUAUCAGUAUCGACUUUCUUUUAUUGUGCUACCUUUUUUAAACCUCAAUUUUCUUUUAACCAUAAAUCCAUUGUUUUUUAAAUGUUUUAUAUCUAUACUAAAAUUUUGUAAUUUAUUAGUUGGUUCAAACACUAUGAAUAUAAAACAUGCAAGAAGGACAAUUUGGUAUUAAUAGAAGAAGCAAUUGAUGGGUUGUGUUCUUUGUGGCCAAAUUCAUUUAGUUUAAUUAAUAUCACCUUAUAAUAAAAUUUAAUGUUUCUUUAUAUUUAAAAUUUAUAUGGACAUUGUACCAAGCUAAAGAAAUUGCAACCUUACUAUCAUUGGAGGCACGUGCGUACAACCAUACUUUUACCAUUUGCACGUCACUUAUUACUUUUUCUUGCACAGAGUGGCAUCAACCAGAUCAGAUAUUAUAACUAUUUGGGAUGGUUCAAGGACUUCUGGUAGAUGUAGAAAACAUGGAUGACUAUCAUCCUAUAGAUUUGUGUUUGAGGUUGGAGUGCCACUAUGCCAUUUGAUUCGUACAACAUGUGGCACAUUGGACCGAUUGUCUCCAACAUUAGCCACAAGUUACAUUUAUUGAUACGAGAAUUUUACAAAUUUUAAGAUAUAUAUAUGGAAUGAUUUAAGGCCAAUGGUAAACCAUACAUGUAUUUCUUAGGAGAGACUUUAUUAUCUCGAAAUGAUCAUCCAUUUUUCAAACAUUAAAGGAGGGAUAUGUAAGCACAAGCCCAACAUGUUGUUAUAGGCCAAGUUAGAGGAGGGAGUGUAACACCCCUUACCCGUAUUCCUUACCGGAACAGAGUAUGAGGUAUUACUAAAUUUUUAAAAAUUUUCGACAGCAUUCCUACUUAUUUUUGCUUAAACCUCCUGCAAAUUUAGAACACAUUCCAAUAUACCAACCAAUUUCAUUUGUAUAAACACACAUAUAGUUUAACUAUUAAUAAACACUACAUUUAAAAGGGAACCAUAACAUAUAUUUACAUGAUGAUCCCACAUUACAUAAAGUGUCUAUACAUGCCAUAAAAUUUCGGAACACUAGUAGUAAAAUACCCCAAAUGUGAAGGAUAGUGUAGAUGAUUGUCUGACUUCGUUCCAAUUUCCGAGUUGUUGGAAGUCACUAUAACCAAGAGAAAAAUAAAAUCGAGUAAGAAUAUAGCUUAGUAAGUAAACACAUGAUAAAUAAGUAAUUACUCCCAUAACUACACCAAAAUAUAAACUUAUUCAUGAAUAACUUUAUUGUUUAAGCAAUUUCCAGCAAGCUGUUUUUCUGCGUCAUAGUCGCUAAUUUAUUUUUAUCUGGAGCUACAGGGCUCCAAAUUGAGUUCCGUAAAUUUUCCCUGAAACUAGACUCAUAUACCAUUUCACCAUAAAAAUUUCAGAAUUUUUAACCCAGCAAAUUAGUACAGUUUAUUCAUUAAACCUUCCCCUGUUUCACUGCCCAACGGUUCUGACCCUUCCUCACUAAAAUUUACUUAACUCUCUGUACAAAAUUUGAAAAAUGGGUUUUCUUGUUUCUAAUAAAAAUAGACUCAAUAAGGAUUCCAGGGAUAUAAAUUUUAUGCCAUAAUUAUAUUUUUUUCAAUUUUUGGUAAUUUUCCAAAGUUAGAACAGGGGAUCUCGAAAUCAAUCCAGCCCUGUUUUAGUAAAAUUCAGAUAUCUCCAAAAAUACAACUCUUUUGCUUAUUCUAUUUCUUUCAUAUGAAAACAGACACAUCCAGCUUCAAUUUCAUAUAUUAUUCAGCUUCCCAUUCAUUUUCCACCAUUUAUGGUGAUUUUUCAAAGUUACCCAACUGCUGUUGUUCAACACAGUUUAUAAUUAAAUCGUUCCUUUUGCGUUUUUGAUAUUUUCUCCCAUCUCAUACAUGGGUCGAUUUAGUAUUCAACUCAAUAUUUACCCCAUAAAAUUUUCCACCAUAUGGAAAUAUUCAUCUUCCACACUUUUUCGUUGAACACUUGGAAUGUUAACCGUUAUUGGUGGAUCUCGCACUUAGCACCACCGCUGAAUCGGGGAAUCAGCACUUAGCAACCCCUCGGGGGAAUCAGCACAUAGCAACCCCCUUUCACAUUUCAAAGAUAUGGUGGAUAUCGCACUUAGCACCACCAAUGAACCGGGGAAUCAGCACUUAGCAACCCCUCGGGGGAAUCAGCACAUAGCAACCCCCUUUUCACAUUUCAAAGAUAUGGUGGAUCACGCACAUAGCACCACCAAUGAAUCGGGGAAUCAGCACUUAGCAACCCCUCGGGGGAAUCAGCACAUAGCAACCCCUUUUUUACAUUUCAAAGAUAUGGUGGAUCACGCACAUAGCACCACCAAUGAAUCGGGGAAUCAGCACACAGCAACCCCUUUAUAUACAACAUACUCCGGCUUAUUCCGAGUGUUCAACCCAUAAACCAUAUAUUGCAACCCUUUACCACCUUUCCCGAUUUAACAACAUUUUUAGGAUAUUGCCAAACAUUUAUUUUAAUUCCAAAUAAAUCUCAACAUAUAUCAAAUAAUAUCAAAAUAAUACAUUAAGUCACGUGUUUACUUACCUCGGUGCAAAAUAUCGUAAUUUUGCACUUUACUCCACUAUCUUUUCUUUUCCUCGUUUGAUAUACUCUUCACGUCUUUCUUGAUCUAUAAUAGCAAAUUUAACUCGUUUAAAGUCCACAUUUAUUAAAAUAAUCCACCACCCAACUUUUUGAAAAUUACAAUUUUGCCCCCAAACUUUUGCAUAAUUACACUUUUGUCCCCAAGCUUGGAAAUUAAACUUCAUCACUUAUUCUUAAGUUUUAUAACAUGCUGAACAUUUUUCCCUUCUAUGGAAACAUCAAAUUCCCACUCCAACACAUACUUUUGAAUAUUAAUUAUUUUUACCGAUUAUGUCUAUUUACCCGUUUUCGCUUAAAAUUGCUUAGCAAAAGUUGUUUAACAUAAUCUCUAGCUUCAUAUUCCACCAUAAAACAGCAAAAUAAACACAUUUCACCUAUGGAUAUUUUUCCAAAUAUGAACCCUAACAUGAAUUAAUGGUAGAAUAAGCUAAACCAAGUUACCGGGCUCCAAAAAUACGAAGAACAUUAAAAACGGGGCUUAGAAUCACUUACUAUGGAGCUUGAAAGCUUAAAAACCCUAAAUAUGGCUUCCCCCUUGCUGAUUUCAUUCACCAUGAAGAAGAUGAGCAUAUUUUGCCAUCUUUUUCCCAUUUAAUUCUAUUUAAUAACCAAAUGACUAAAAUGCCCCCAUUUAAAAAAAAUCUAUUUCACCCAUUUCUUAUGUCUAUUUUUGUCCAUCAACUAACUAAUGGUCUAAUUACCACAUAAAUACCUCCAAUUUAAAAUUUCAUAACAAUUAGACACCUCUAAGAUGUAGAACUCAACUUUUGCACUAUUUACAAUUUAGUCCUUUUGACUAAAUUGAGUGCCCAAACGUCGAAAUUUUCGAACGAAAUUUUUACGAAAAUUUUCCGUGAAAUUGUAGAUCAUAAAAAUAUAAUAAUAACCAUAUUUUCCCUCGUCGGAUUUGUGGUCCCGAAACCACUAUUCCGACUAGGCCCAGAAUCGGGCUGUUACAACUCUCCCCCCUUAGGGAUUUUCGUCCCCGAAAAUCUUACCGGAAAAGAGGUUUGGGUACUGUUUCCUCAUAAUUUCCUCCGGUUCCCACGUAGCCUCUUCCAUUCCAUGUUUUUGCCACAACACUUUCACUAAGGCUACACUUUUAUUUCUUAACUGUUUGACCUCCCGAGCCAAAAUCUUUAUGGGUUCUUCUUCAUAAGUCAUAUCUGGUCGAACCUCAAUCUCUGUAGGAGAAACUAUAUGUGAAGGAUCCGAACGAUAACGUCGCAACAUCGACACAUGAAAUACAUUAUGUAUCUUUUCCAACUCUGGCGGUAAAGCUAACCGAUAUGCUACAGGGCCAACUCUCUCGGUAACUUCAUAUGGUCCAAUAAAACAUGGACUUAGUUUGCCUUUAUGACCAAAUCUCAGAAUCUUCUUCCAUGGGGAUACUUUCAAGAACACUUUAUCACCCACUUGAAACUCAAUUUCUUUUCUCUUUAAAUCCGCAUACGACUUUUGCCGAUCUGAGGCAGCUUUUAGGCAAUCACGGAUUAUUUUCACCUUUUCUUCAGUUUCUUUCACCAGGUCGACUCCAUGAAUCCGAUUCUCACCGAGUUCAGUCCAAUAUAAAGGGGUUCUACAUUUACGCCCAUAUAAUGCUUCAUACGGUGCCAUUUGUAUACUUGACUGAUAACUAUUAUUAUAAGCAAAUUCAACCAGUGGUAGAUAUUUCUCCCAACUGUCCUUCAUUUCUAAAAUACAACACCGGAGCAUGUCUUCAAGAACUUGAAUCACCCUUUCUGAUUGCCCGUCAGUUUGCGGAUGAAAUGCAUUACUGAAAUUCAAUUUCGUACCCAAAGCUUCCUGUAACUUUAUCCAAAACCUCGAAGUAAAUCUCGGAUCUCUAUCCGAUAUAAUAGAUUUAGGCACCCCAUGUAGUCUCACUAUUUCAGCAACAUAUAAUUCAGCCAACCUGUCAAGUGAAUAAUCAAUGCGUAUCGGAAUAAAAUGGGCUGACUUUGUCAAUCUAUCCACAAUUACCCAAAUAGCAUCUUUCUUCUUUGGAGUUAAAGGCAAUCCUGUCACGAAAUCCAUCGUGAUACUGUCCCACUUCCAUUCUGGAAUCGUUAUCGGUUGAAGUAAACCCGAUGGCACUUGAUGCUCAGCCUUUACUUGUUGACAGAUUAAACAUUUUGUUACAAAUUCCGAGAUAUCCUUUUUCAUGCCCGGCCACCAAUACAACUUCCUCAAAUCAUUGUACAUUUUCACACUACCCGGAUGGACUGAUAAAUCACCACUGUGUGCCUCACCUAAAAUAGUCCGAAUUAGCUCAUCAUUUCUCGGUACACAUAUUCUGUCCCUGAACAUCAGGCAAUCAUCUGAACCAAUUUGAAAAUCUGAGUCAACACCUACUUCACACUGAGCUCUCUUGGCUUGCAAUUUACUGUCAUUCUUUUGAGAUUCCCGAAUUUGCUGAAGAAAUAACGGUCUAGCUCUCAAUUCAACCAACAUUGAGCCAUCAUCAGAUAAAGUUAACAUCGUAUCCAUAGCUCUCAAAGCAAAUAAAGAUUUUCUGCUCAAGGCAUCAGCAACCACAUUAGCUUUCCCGGGGUGAUAAUCAAUCACUAGCUCAUAGUCUUUGAUUAGCUCGAGCCAUCUUCGUUGCCGCAAAUUCAAGUCUUUUUGACUCAUCAAAUAUUUCAAACUCUUAUGAUCAGUGAAGAUUCGGCACUUUUCACCAUACAAAUAAUGACGCCAAAUUUUUAAAGCAAAAACAAUGGCAGCCAAUUCUAAAUCAUGCGUCGGAUAAUUCUUCUCAUGCGGUUUCAACUGUCUCGAAGCAUAAGCUAUUACUUUGCCCUCUUGCAUUAACACACACACAAGGCCAUUCAACGAUGCAUCACUGUAAAUUACAAAUUCCUUCCCGGACUCAGGUUGCACCAACACUGGCGCCUCAGUCAAUAAUGCCUUCAACUUUUCAAAACUCUGUUGACAUUUAUCGGUCCAUUCAAACUUGACAUUCUUCUGCAGUAACUUAGUCAUAGGAGAAGCAAUCAUCGAGAAUCCCUUGACAAACCGUCUGUAAUACCCAGCUAAGCCCAGGAAGCUUCUAACUUCAGUCACAUUCUUUGGUGGCUCCCAAUCAACAAUUGCUGAAAUUUUGCUUGGAUCAACCCGAAUACCUUCACUUGAAACUAUAUGUCCCAAGAAUCCAACCUCACGAAGCCAAAACUCACUUUUGCUGAAUUUAGCAUACAAUUUCUUUUCUCUCAGAAUCUGCAACACAGUUCUCAAAUGUUCUGCAUGUUCCGAUUCAUCCCGAGAAUAGAUUAAAAUAUCACCUAUGAACACCACCACGAACUUGUCUAAGUACAGCCGAAAAAUUCGGUUCAUCAAGUCCAUAAAAAUAGCUGGAGCAUUAGUCAACCCAAAAGGCAUUACCAGAAAUUCAUAGUGUCCAUACCUCGUUCUGAAGGCGGUUUUCGGCACAUCAGAUUCUUUAACUCUCAACUGAUAGUAACCAGACCUCAGAUCGAUCUUGGAGAACACUGUUGCCCCUUUUAAUUGAUCAAACAAAUCAUCAAUUCUCGGCAAAGGAUACUUGUUCUUUAUGGUCACCUUAUUGAGCUGACGAUAGUCAAUACAAAGUCUCAUAGAGCCGUCCUUCUUUUUCGCAAAUAACACAGGAGCACCCCAAGGAGAAAAACUCGGUCUCACAAAUCCUUUAUCUGUCAACUCUUGUAACUGAGCUUUUAAUUCCUUCAACUCAGUCGGAGCCAUUCGAUACGGUGCAAUAGAAAUCGGUGCAGUACCAGGUAACAGAUCAAUAGAAAACUCAACUUCUCUAAUCGGAGGUAACCCAGGCAAUUCCUCUGGAAAUACAUCUGGAAAUUCACAGACUACCGGCACUGAUUCAAGCUUCGACCCAGUUAUAUCAGUAUUCAACACAUAAGCAAGAUAAACUUCACAUCCCUUUCUCAAGUAUUUCUGAGCAGACAUGUGCGAAAUCACCAUAGGCAACUUAUUCGGCUCCUCUGUUUCAAUCCGGAGAAUUUCACCAUUUUCACACUUUAAUUCAAGAAUUUUCUGUCUACAAUUCACCUUGGCAUCAUGCAAUAUCAACCAAUCCAUCCCCAAAAUAACAUCGAACUCAUCAAAUGGUAACAACAUCAAAUUAGCCAGGAAACAGUGACCUUGAAUCAUCAGGGGGCAAUUCUUGCAAAUCUUAUCAACUAAGACAUACUUGCCUAAUGGAUUUGAUACUUUAACUACAUAUUCAGUGUUUUCAACAGGCAAUUUCUUACUAGAUACCAAUUUCAUGUAUACAUAUGAAUGAGUAGAGCCGGGAUCAAUCAAAGCAAUAACAUCUAUAUCAUGAAGAGAAAAUGUACCAGUAAUCACAUCGGGAGAUGAGGCAUCCUCUCGAGCACGUAUGGCAUAAGUCCUGGCAGGCGCUCUAAUUUCUGAUCCUCCAGCUGCAUCUUUCAUCACACUUUUACCACUGACUUUGCUUCCCACAUUUCUCGGCGGUCUCCCUCUACUAACAAUAUCACCCGAUCCAGCUCUUGGCAAAUUUUCUUCCUCUCUUCUCUCAGGGCAAUCUCUUACAUAAUGCUCUUGGGAACCACACCUGAAACAAGCUCGUUUAAAUCCCCAACACUCACCAAUAUGUCGCCUGCCACACUGUUGACAUUCAGGUCGGGUGUUUCCUACAUUGCCCACACUUGCUACAGAGGUAGCUCGAGUUGUAGCUCCAGAAUACGACCUCCCUCGGUCUCUGCGUGAAUACCCAACUGAACCAGUUGGUCGUGGAUCCAUCCCUUUAAACUUCUUCGAAUGAGAUUGAAAUGUUCUACCCAUUGUCCUCUUCCUUACAUCUCGAGAUUCCAUCUCUGCCCUUCUCUUUUCUCUACUCAGUUCUUCAGCUUUACAGGCCCGAUCAACUAACACCACAAAUUCUUUUAACUCUAAAAUCCCAACAUGCAAUCUGAUGUCUUUAUUUAGCCCCUCUUCAAAUCUUUUACACAUAAUAGCCUCCGUAGGCACACAUUCCUGGGCAUAUUUACUAAGCCGAACAAACUCCCGUUCAUAUUCUACUACGGACAUUCGGCCCUGUUUCAACCCGAGAAACUCUUUGCGUUUUUGAUCAAUAAAUCGUUGGCUUACAUAUUUCUUUCUAAAUUCUUCCUGAAAGAAGUCCCAAGUAACUCUUUCUUUUGGAACCACCGAUAUCAAUGUUUUCCACCAACGAUAUGCCGAAUCCUUCAAUAAAGACACAGCACAUUUCAAACAUUCUUCAGGGGUGCAAGAUAAUUCAUCAAAUACCCGAAUAGUAUUUUCAAGCCAAAACUCGGCUUUUUCCGGAUCAUCAUCAACAUUGGCCCUAAAAUCUUCAGCCCCAUGCUUUCGAAUUCUAUCAACAGGUGGCUUACUUGAUCUCACCAAUUCGGCACUCCGUGGAGCUACGGGGACCGGUUGAGGAAUAGGAGGGGGUGGAGGAGGAGGAACAUUCGGAUUUACACGGACAUAUUCUAUAUACCAAUCACUCAUCAUUCGGAGGAAGGCUUCCCGAGCCUCAUCCUGUCCAUGUGUCUCAUGUCUACUCUCUUCCUGCGUGGUCCCUUGCGCGAGAGUCGGCGCGUUACUUUCAACAUCAUCUGCCACACUUCGAUCAGGAUCCAUUUACUAUAUAAAACAAAAUUUUAAAUUGUCAGAAAUCAUCACACUAUCACAAUAAUUUUAUGGCAUGUAUAGACUGACUUCCACACGUAUUUUAUUGGUCCGAGAACCGACUAAACCGUAGCUCUGAUACCACUAAAAUGUAACACCCCUUACCCGUAUUCCUUACCGGAACAGAGUAUGAGGUAUUACUAAAUUUUUAAAAAUUUUCGACAGCAUUCCUACUUAUUUUUGCUUAAACCUCCUGCAAAUUUAGAACACAUUCCAAUAUACCAACCAAUUUCAUUUGUAUAAACACACAUAUAGUUUAACUAUUAAUAAACACUACAUUUAAAAGGGAACCAUAACAUAUAUUUACAUGAUGAUCCCACAUUACAUAAAGUGUCUAUACAUGCCAUAAAAUUUCGGAACACUAGUAGUAAAAUACCCCAAAUGUGAAGGAUAGUGUAGAUGAUUGUCUGACUUCGUUCCAAUUUCCGAGUUGUUGGAAGUCACUAUAACCAAGAGAAAAAUAAAAUCGAGUAAGCAUAUAGCUUAGUAAGUAAACACAUGAUAAAUAAGUAAUUACUCCCAUAACUACACCAAAAUAUAAACUUAUUCAUGAAUAACUUUAUUGUUUAGGCAAUUUCCAGCAAGCUGUUUUUCUGCGUCAUAGUCGCUAAUUUAUUUUUAUCUGGAGCUACAGGGCUCCAAAUUGAGUUCCGUAAAUUUUACCUGAAACUAGACUCAUAUACCAUUUCACCAUAAAAAUUUCAGAAUUUUUAACCCAGCCAAUUAGUACAGUUUAUUCAUUAAACCUUCCCCUGUUUCACUGCCCAACGGUUCUGACCCUUCCUCACUAAAAUUUACUUAACUCUCUGUACAAAAUUUGAAAAAUGAGUUUUCUUGUUUCUAAUAAAAAUAGACUCAAUAAGGAUUCCAGGGAUAUAAAUUUCAUGCGAUAAUUAUUUUUUUACAAUUUUUGGUAAUUUUCCAAAGUUAGAACAGGGGAUCUCGAAAUCAAUCCAGCCCUGUUUUAGUAAAAUUCAGAUAUCUCCAAAAAUACAACUCUUUUGCUUAUUCUAUUUCUUUCAUAUGAAAACAGACACAUCCAGCUUCAAUUUCAUAUAUUAUUCAGCUUCCCAUUCAUUUUCCACCAUUUAUGGUGAUUUUUCAAAGUUACCCAACUGCUGUUGUUCAACACAGUUUAUAAUUAAAUCGUUCCUUUUUUCGUUUUUGAUAUUUUCUCCCAUCUCAUACAUGGAUCGAUUUAGUGUCCAACUCAAUAUUUACCCCAUAAAAUUUUCCACCAUAUGGCAAUAUUCACCUUCCACACUUUUUCGUUGAACACUCGGAAUGUUAACCGUUAUUGGUGGAUCUCGCACUUAGCACCACCACUGAAUCGGGGAAUCAUCACUUAGCAACCCCUCGGGGGAAUCAGCACAUAGCAACCCCCUUUUCAUUUCAAAUAUACAAUGGAUAUUGCACUUAGCAACCCCUCGGGGGAAUCAGCACAUAGCAACCCCCUUUCACAUUUCAAAGAUAUGGUGGAUAUCGCACUUAGCACCACCAAUGAACCGGGGAAUCAGCACUUAGCAACCCCUCGGGGGAAUCAGCACAUAGCAACCCCCUUUUCACAUUUCAAAGAUAUGGUGGAUCACGCACAUAGCACCACCAAUGAAUCGGGGAAUCAGCACUUAGCAACCCCUCGGGGGAAUCAGCACAUAGCAACCCCCUUUUUACAUUUCAAAGAUAUGGUGGAUCACGCACAUAGCACCACCAAUGAAUCGGGGAAUCAGCACACAGCAACCCCUUUAUAUACAACAUACUCCGGCUUAUUCCGAGUGUUCAACCCAUAAACUAUAUAUUGCAACCCUUUACCACCUUUCCCGAUUUAACAACAUUUUUAGGAUAUUGCCAAACAUUUAUUUUAAUUCCAAAUAAAUCUCAACAUAUAUCAAAUAAUAUCAAAAUAAUACAUUAAGUCACGUGUUUACUUACCUCGGUGCAAAAUAUCGUAAUUUUGCACUUUACUCCACUAUCUUUUCUUUUCCUCGUUUGAUAUACUCUUCACGUCUUUCUUGAUCUAUAAUAGCAAAUUUAACUCGUUUAAAGUCCACAUUUAUUAAAAUAAUCCACCACCCAACUUUUUGAAAAUUACAAUUUUGCCCCCAAACUUUUGCAUAAUUACACUUUUGUCCCCAGCUUGGAAAUUAAACUUCAUCACUUAUUCUUAAGUUUUAUAACAUGCUGAACAUUUUUCCCUUCUAUGGAAACAUCAAAUUCCCACUCCAACACAUACUUUUGAAUAUUAAUUAUUUUUACCGAUUAUGUCUAUUUACCCGUUUUCGCUUAAAAUUGCUUAGCAAAAGUUGUUUAACAUAAUCUCUAGCUUCAUAUUCCACCAUAAAACAGCAAAAUAAACACAUUUCACCUAUGGAUAUUUUUCCAAAUAUGAACCCUAACAUGAAUUAAUGGUAGAAUAAGCUAAACCAAGUUACCGGGACUCCAAAAAUACGAAGAACAUUAAAAACGGGGCUUAGAAUCACUUACUAUGGAGCUUGAAAGCUUAAAAACCCUAAAUAUGGCUUCCCCCUUGCUGAUUUCGUUCACCAUGAAGAAGAUGAGCAUAUUUUGCCAUCUUUUUCCCAUUUAAUUCUAUUUAAUAACCAAAUGACUAAAAUGCCCCCAUUUAAAAAAAAUCUAUUUCACCCAUUUCUUAUGUCUAUUUUUGUCCAUCAACUAACUAAUGGUCUAAUUACCACAUAAAGACCUCCAAUUUAAAAUUUCAUAACAAUUAGACACCUCUAAGAUGUAGAACUCAACUUUUGCACUAUUUACAAUUUAGUCCUUUUGACUAAAUUGAGUGCCCAAACGUCGAAAUUUUCGAACGAAAUUUUUACGAAAAUUUUCCGUGAAAUUGUAGAUCAUAAAAAUAUAAUAAUAACCAUAUUUUCCCUCGUCGGAUUUGUGGUCCCGAAACCACUAUUCCGACUAGGCCCAGAAUCGGGCUGUUACAGGGAGGGAUCUACAACCAUGUUGUGGCGUAGGCGUACCCGUCGUCUUAAGGGUUGGUGAUGGGAAAAAUGGUUAUGGUUGAGACUGAGGUCGAGGAAUAAGGCAUGACAGAGGCAUUCCUAUUGAAAAUGCCCUAGUAAUUGUACAUGUUGGUAUUGACCACAUACUUAAAUUUAUAGAUGUAGAGGUUUAUCUUGGAUUUGCCUAGAUAAUAGAUGAAAAUAUGAUGCAUCAAGUAGAUCGAAGAUGAUAAUUUUUUUUAUAUUACUGUAAUAGGCCUUACCCACUCGAUGAUCAAUACAAAUAUGAUAUGCUACAGUAACACUUUUAAGCUUAAACCAAAAAUUUUCCUUUGUAAAAAUACUUGCUUCGCAACAUAUUAAUUUUUUAAAUCAAAUUGGUGAGGUUUAAGAAGAUUCACAUAUGAUUAGAAAUCAUUUCGGGUCAUUAGGUACAUAUAGAGACAUCCAAAUUAUAAAAUAAGUGUUUGAAGUUCUUUUACUUAAAUCAAGGUCUUUUGGGUUGAGAAGGAUAGGAGUUUUACAAUAGCUUAAAAAUUAAAAUAAUUAAAUAAAAUUAUAGAAAUAAGAUAAAUAAUUUUCAAGGCUUUAAAAUCAUUUAGAAACUUUUUGUAGGUGACCAGAGGCUUCUAAGGUCAAGUAUGAGCUCCAGGCCGCUCAAAACAACCAAAAUAGUGCAAGGGACCAUGUUUAAGGGCUGGGUAUCAUACUUUUUAUUACCCAUUUUUUUAUGAGAAACAUACAAGUUCAUUAUUUUUGCUCUCCAAUUAAAUCUUAUGGCUCAUAGUUUAACUUAUGUUAAAAACAAACCUUUGUUGACUUAUCUCAAAUUCAAUUUGUGUUACAAGUUAAAAGAACCUAAUAUCAUGACAUAUUUAAAUUUUAGCUCAAGUACCUAACACUUUUAUUUUCAUCAAAUGAUUUAUAUUCACAAUAAAAUUUCAUUAUUAAUAUUUUAAAACUUUUUCACCCUUAGCAAAUACUAGAAAAAUGAGAUUCAAAUACUUUGGUACCAUCUAGAACACACAAAGAGCAUGAUACAUGCACGAAUGGACUAAAAUUUAUUAAAUUUCAUUCAUCGAAGCUGCUAAUUUUCAAGUUUGAAAAAUCAAUCGACUUGCGAAGACUUUUUGGAUGGGAUCCAAAAAUUUCUAGGUUGAGAUGUCUUUAUAGAGUUUGAAGAUCUAUCCAUUAGCCUCAAAAUGCACUUUGAAUCUGAUGCGAGUCUCAAGGCCCAAUUUCAAGCUUAUGGAUGUGAAGGGCUUACGUUACCUCAAGGGCCAAUAAUAAGAUCAAAGGCCAAGCAAAUCAAACUAAGAUUCAAUUAAAGACAAUACGUGAGGAUGAAUCUUUUCGAGGAGAGGGGGAAUGAUACAUGCAUGGAAUGUCUGAAAUUUAUUAAAGUCAAUCCAAACAAACUACCAAUUUUCAAUUUGAAAAUAUUAGUCAAAUUGGACAAUGUUUUGGAAUUUUUUGGCUGAGAUCCAAAAAUUUAUGGGCUUAGAUGUCUGAAUAGUGGUUGAAGAUCUAUCUCUUAGCUUCAAAACACACUUUGAAUCACUCGAUUUUGAGUUUGGAAGCUCAAGUUAUGACAAUUUUAGUGAAGACUGCGUGAACAAAAUUUCUGGAUGAGGAUAAUACAGAAAUUAUGAGUUUUAGGCUUUUUAUUCAAGUUUAAAUCAUAUUGGGUUCGAGUUUCAGGCUUAAUUUUUAUUAUACACGAGACGAAUAUUGUAUUUAUUAAGUUUUAUUAUUUAUUUAUGUUGAAUUUUGGAUAAUUUUAAGUAUUAUAAGUUAUUUAAGAGUUUUAUGUCAACAAUAAAGUUUAGUUUAAAACUACUUCUUGUCUAGGUUAAUUAGAGUUUCAGUAUACUUAAGAGUUUUAUUUGGAUUUAUUUAUCUAGCCUAUAUAAAGGUCUCUUCAUUGUAAAAAAUUAUUCAAAAAUCAAUUCAUUCAUUAUUCACUUUGAGUUAAUAAGAUUCUUUUUGAGUUUUCUAUUUAAGAAUUUCUCUUGAGUUCUCUUUUAGAAAAGUUUUAACAAUCUUCUCAAUUUGUGAGGAUCAUCUUCAAGCUUUUUCUUUCUAAGUUUAAUUUCUUUAAGGGAAAAUUAGAGUCAUUCAAAAGGAGUUGUGGAUUCAUCGAGUUUCCAAGGCUCAUUAGAACUUCUACAUGCCAUCUUCAUAUUUUCCAUCUAUCUACUUUAUUCUAUUUUGUUCCUAUUUAAUUAUUGAAAAUUUUUAUUUAUUUAAUUUUUCUAUCUUAAUUAUCUAUUUUAAUUUCUUCCUUUAAUUUUUAAAUUUUUAGAUUUGACUUGGAUUUGUUUAUGUUUCAAGUUGUGUCAAAAUCUCCAAAGUCAAAUAUGCGACUUGCACAAAACAUACGAUCCUGUUCCGCACUAAUUCAUAUCAUUUGGUAUAUUGCUUCUUUUAAUUUGUUUAAAUCUAACUUGAAAUUUUUUUGCAUUUCAGGUUGUGUCAAAGUCCAAGAUUCUUUCUGAUCAUCUAGAGCCCUAAGCCAAAUCUAUGACUUCGACAAACUUACGAUCCUCUUCUAUUCUUGUCCCUAUCAUAAUCACUCGAUUUUGAGUUUGGCAUCUCAAUUUAUGGUUGUUUUAGUAAAGACUGUGUGAGAAGAAUUUUUGGAUGGGACUAUUACAAAAAUUACGAGUUUUGGGCUUUUAAUUCAAGUUCAAAUCAUAUUGGAUUCACUAAGAUGGUCAUAACUUGAGCUCCUAACCUCAAAAUUAAGAGAUUCAAAGUGCAUUUCAAACCUAAGAGAUAGAUCUUUGAACUCUAUUGAUGUGAAGCGGCUCAGUAGGUUGAGUUGAGUCAUCUUAAUUUCCCAAUCGUCGACGAGGAAGUAUCGCUCCAAAAAUAAUAGUUGGUUUGUAAUCGGCUAAAUAUGAAGUAAAGUGAUGGAAAAUGUUCAAAAAUAGGUUAAGUUUGAUAUGGAUAGGUUCGGCUAACAAUAAAAUUUGAUAGAUAAUUUGAUGGAUAGAAGAAAUGGAAAUUCAAACUUAAGCGUCAAGAAUGAUCCAACACUAUAGAGGGUGUCGUCCCAAGACUUAUAUUGCUUAAGGUGAUUGAUGGAAAUAGAAGGAUAGACCUCGACCCGUUACUUAGCAAAGUAGGAAUCCAAGGUAUAAAAAGAUGGACGAACGCCACACCAGGAUUGGUUAUAAGUUUGGAAGGAGUUCGGUUGACGCCACUAGCAUGCUAGAUAAGUCAAUUCGAGACUCACACAAAAUAUGAGAGAGAGAACCUCACAAGAGCAAUAGUUCAUUAAUAAAUUUGACAAAUAGUUCUUUUACAAUGAAAAUAAACAACUAUUUAUAGCCUAUGCACUAGCUAGCCGGAUGGUCACAAAUAAGUCUUUAAAAACUAAGUAAAAUUCAGCUAAAAUAAGCUGGAAAAUUCCAGAAUAAAAACCAUUAAAAUCCAUAGCAAGAUUCGGCUGAAUGGAGUCCAAAAGACAGCUUCUAGAAUGGGCAAAUGAACCUGGAAAGAUCAAUGGCGCAUGGCAACAGCUAGGUUCGGUCGAUUAAGCUUAAAUGAGCUCAUUAAAAUGCAAUUCUUGGCUGAAAAGAUACCAGCAUUAAAGGAGGACUUGGACAACCUUGAAAGUGUGAAAAGUCAGCUUCUAGAUUGAGCAAUAAACUUGGAAAGAUGAAUGCUUGAGGGAGGCUAAUGGCCAUGUCCAUAUCCAGCCACUUGGGACGCCAAUGGGCAGCUUAAUGAUAAAGAAAAAUUCAGCUGGAUGAAUUUGGCUGUAGGGAGGUGAAUGGCUUUGUCUAAAUUUGGCCAAAGCUUGAAGGACACCUCCAAUAGAUGCCUCUUGCUCGAAUGGUCACCUAGGAGAUUCAAAGGAUUAGGAAAAUUCAUGUAACUAGACAUGCAUGCAUUCUUUUAUUCAUUGUAACUUGCUCUUCAUGCAUUUAGCUCCUUCAUUAAUGUGUUUUUAUUUUGGUAGCCACUCCUUGGCCGAAUAGGUGUUUGGGGAAGUGAACAAUCAGCUCAAGAUUCUUUGAAGAUGGCCAUGCAUGUACCGUCCAAUUCAUUGAACCUAAUAUGCAUGAAUCUUGAUUAAAUGCACCCCAAAUUUGACUCACCUACAAGAACAAAUGAACCAAAAUUAAUUCACAUAAAAUUCAGCUGAACAUGCAUUAAUAUAAUUUUAGAUACACUAAUUAACAUAAUAAUUAACUUAUGACAAAUUUAUUAUUAUCUUAACAAGACAAAUUAAAUUCGGCAUUGACUAAGACAUAACAAAAACUUGUAAUAGCUAAGAACAUAUUAAUGAGCUGUAAUAAUACUUUCUAAUUUAUUUUAAAUAAUUAAUUUAUUCCAGCAAGUAAAUUUAGUGAGCUAAAAAAAUCUAAUAACGAGCUCAAUGAGCUGAAUUGAGCUCGUGUGAGCUAACUUGAGCUCGAAUGAGCUGAACCACAUGGAAAGUAGUUUGAUUGAGCUGAAAAUGAGCUUCUCGUGCUUUGUUUGAGCUGGGUCGAGCUUGCAAGGAUGGCGAGCCUCGUUUUGUAAGCUGAACCAUGGGCAUUCCUGGCCGGGAUCGUAUCAAUCCCCCGUCUUCAGAAUGACUUGUCCUCAAGUCGAGCCGUUGGUUCACUCAAUCAUAGCUCCUCUUAUAGGGCUUUCUUUGGACGAAUGGGGUGAAUGGCAAAUGAGUCAUCUAAAAUUUAUAGCCAUGAGUUAGCAAGAAGCAAUGCAAACAAAUUUGCAGUCCGAGCAUAAUCAAAACAAGUAUAAUGCAUGCGAAUGGACAGAUGCAAAUCACCAUGUUUACAAUCAGGCAAACAAACUAAUUUACUUGCCGAUGCCUCGUCAAAUGUUCAAUACAAAUAUGGACAUGUUUUAAGGCAUUCAAAAAUCUCAAAUUGUUUCCACAAGUCAUGAUUAAAUCGCGAGUAAUAAAUCAAAUGGUAGACGUAAUUGUCACAAGUAGGUAUUUGAAAAGAUUCACACAGUCCACGGAGUUGCACAAUCAUACCGUGCAUUAGACGAUUGACUAUAGAUUCACUCACACAUGCAUCAUAAAAUUUAUCAGAAACAAGAAUCUUUUUAUCAACCACAUAGAUAGAUCAUCAAUGAAUAAGAUAGAACAGUCAAGCAAGUCGCGAUCUAAGUGAUUUACAAGAACCAAAGCAACAACACGAUUUUUGUCACCACCCGAAGAGAACAAGGAUGUUUCAAAAAGUUCAGUGGUCUUACCUUUUAAAGUAGGAAAACAAAGAUCGAUUUUACCUUGUUCGAUCAACACAAAUCUUCACUUCUCAAGGGUAUAGUGUAGUCGAAGCUUCAUGGUUGAGUUAACCUGUGUCAAAUGGAAUGCAAACUUCAUGUACAACCAUAGAAAUUGUUUAAGGCACGAAUACAAAUUGAAAACAAAUUUGGAAAAUUUCGUUACCUUAUUUAAAAACCAAGUAGCAAAACAAUAGAAAUUAUUCGCACAAAAUUUAAGAUGCUUGAUUUUUUCACAAAUCGAACCCAAACAAAUUCCCGGUUUAAACAUGCGAGUUUGAUUACUUAUGCCGAAAUGUAGCAAAGGUUUCAUUAAGUCAAACACGCUAAACCAACAGGAUUCGUGUGUCCACAGAAACAAACAUUCAAAACUCUUUACUUCCUUCAAACUAGAUUUGCAAAAACUUGAGGAUUUCAAACAAGGUAGUAAAUGGUUCACAUAAUCACCACAAUUAAUUAAAUUGAGAUGUUUAUAUGGAAAUUCAUUGUUACGCAGAAUCGAGUUUCACAUUUGCCGAUUAAACACGACUUCACCUUUAAACUUGUCAACGCAAAGAUUUGUUUUGGAAAAGCUUAUCUCACCACCAUUUGAGAUUUCAACAAUAAUCGAUAAAGGAAAAUCAACCAUUUUUGGCACGGAACUUUUACAAAGAUAAAGUCUUUGACAUUAUAUUUACCCACAUUCAAGGAAGAUAGUGGAAAUUCAACUGCUAGGUGUUCCUUGCCUAUCUUACCUUCGGGCUCGUGUGGUUUGAUUUCAUCUUCAUCCUUACCUUUUUUGGUCAUGCGAAAAUGUCGCUCGUCAGGAAGGUAUUGAAGUUGAAAAUUAUCGUCACUCAGCCUUUCGAAGACCUAAAAAGAAGGAACAAAACAAAAGCAAACAUCAUGGGGGUUAGUUAAAAUUUCGUUCUCUUUUUCUUGUUCUCGCUCACUAUCUUCAUAUUCUUUCGUUUCUUUUUCAAUAUCUUUUUCUUUUCCAAUUUUUUUUCUCAAUCUCAAUUUCUUUUUCAAUUUUCUUUUCUUCGUUUUCUUUUUCUCUCACUUCUUCGAUUUCUUGUUCUUUUGAAUUUCUUUUUCUUUUUCAUUUUCUAUUUCUUUUCCACUUUCUAUUUCUUUUUAUUUUUCUUUUUCUUUAUUUUCGUUUUUAUUACAACAUGAGGAUGAUACAAAAGAAUAAAAAAGAUAAUCAUUUGGCUCAAAGAAAGAGAAAAUAUUUUCGUAGGCUUCUCGUCCAUUUCUUCGAGAACAAUCCUUCGGGAAGGACUUCUUUGAUACAUACGAAGAAUAACUAUUGCUUUCUCAUUUGUCAUAUCGAAAAUUUGGAAGCUCGAAGCUGUCGCGUCUUGAAUUCCUUGACGAAUAGGAAUCCCGAUAAGAAUCUCUUAGUGAGUAGUCUUUGGACGUGUAUCACCUCGAUGAUCUCAACUUCAUGUCUCGACUUGGUGGAUUUUAUUUCCGUCGGGCCUUUUCCUCCACUUGAUCCAACCGUCUUUGUAAUGGACUUAGUUUUUCCUUUAACAUUCGGCCCAUCUCGUUCACCAAGUAUUGAAAUUCAUCGGUGGAGAAUUCUUCUCGAGACAUGAUUAUUCACUGAAAGAAGAAAUGUUAAAAGAAUAAUAACAGAAAAUUAGAUACCUCACUAUAAAAUCUCGCAAGUCACUCAGAAAGAAAAUUUCACUCCACUCGUGUUUACGCUCGUUUUGGCUUUUAUUCUCUCGAAUGAAUUUACGCUCUCUUUCCUUUUACCGCUCGUCUCACUCUCUUAAAUUCGUAUUUCGUUUCAAGUAAACUUAUUGCGGCUUAGAGGGUCAGCUUCAAAAUGGUUAAAUAGGGAUAAAAUGAAUGGGGUGGGAUAGGCUGAACAAAGAAAAUAAAACCAAAGUAUGUGUGGUGUUUUGGGGGAAGAAGAAAUAGUAGAAUGAAUGGAUGAUCGGGAAUAACAAGAAAUGAAAACAAAAUAAAACUCGCAAGACUCUCACUUCUUUUUUUUUAAUACUCGUAAUUUUUUUCUCUUUUUUUUUGAAUUUUCAUAAUUCCUUUUUUUACUCUUCAAUUACAAUAUGCUGAAAUACAAAGAAAGAAAAAAAAUUAAAUUACAACUUGAAUUUUUUUCACUUUUUUUACGUUACGAACCUACUUUCGGGCUUGAUACGAAUGUCGACACUCAUCGUUUUAGUAGCUCUGAUACCAAAUGAUGCGAACCAGCUCAGUAGGUUGAGUCGAGUCGUCUUAAUUGCCCAAUCGUCGAUGAGGAAGUAUCGCUCCAAAAUAAUAGGUUGUUUGUAAUCGGCUAAAUAUGAAGUAAAGUGAUGGAAAAGGUUCAAAAAUAGGUUAAGUUUGAUAUGGAUAGGUUCGGCUAACAAUAAAAUUUGAUAGAUAAUUUGAUGGAUAGAUGAAAUGGAAAUUCAAACUUAAGCGUCAAGAAUGAUCCAACACUAUAGAGGGUGUCGUCCCAAGACUUAUAUUGCUUAAGGUGAUUGAUGGAAAUAGAAGGAUAGACCUCGACCCGUUACUUAGCAAAGUAGGAAUCCAAGGUAUAAAAAGAUGUACGAACGCCACACCAGGAUUGGUGAUAAGUUUGGAAGGAGUUCGGUUGACGCCACUAGCACGCUAGAUAAGUCAAUUUGAGACUCACACGAAAUAUGAGAGAGAGAACCUCACAAGAGCAGUAGUUCAUUUAUAAAUUUGGCAAAAAGUUCUUUUACAAUGAAAAUAAAAAACUAUUAUAUAGCCUAUGCACUAGCUAGCCGAAUGUUCACAAACAAGUCUUUAAAAACUAAGUAAAAUUCAACUAAAAUAAGCUGGAAAAUUCCAGAAUAAAAACCAUUAAAAUCCUUAGCAAGAUUUGGCUCAAUGGAGUCUAAAGGACAGCUUCUAGAAUGGGCAAAUGAACCUGGAAAGAUCAAUGGCGCAUGGCAACAGCUAGGUUCGGCCAAUUGAGCUUAAAUGAGCUCAUUAAAAUGCAAUUCUUAGCUGAAAAGAUACCAACAUUAAAGGAGGACGUGGAAAGCCUUGAAAGUGUGAAAAGUCAGCUUCUAGAUUGAGAAAUAAAAUUGGAAAGAUGAAUGCUUGAGGGAGGCUAAUGGCCAUGUCCAUAUUCAGCCACUUAGGACGGCAAUGGGCAGCUUAAUGAUGAAGAAAAAUUCAGCUGGAUGAAUUAGGCUGUAGGGAGGUGAAUGGAUUUGUCUAAAUUUGGCCAAAGCUUGAAGGACACCUCCAAUAGAUGCCUGUUGGUCGAAUGGUCACCUAGGAUGUAACAACCCGAUUCUAGGCCUAGUCGGAAAAGCGGUUUCGGAACAACAAAUCUGACAAGGGAAAAUAUGGUUAUUAUUAUAUUUUUAUUGUCUACAAUUCCACAGAAAAAUUUGUAAAAAUUUCGUUUGAAAAUUUCGACGUUUGGGCACUCCAUUUAGUCAAAAGGACUAAAUUGUAAAAAGUGCAAAAGUUGAGUUUUACAUGUUAGAAGUGUCUAAUUGUUAUAAAAUUAUAAAUUUUGGGUCCUUAUGUGGUAAUUAGACUAUUAGUUAAUUUAUGGAAAAAAAUAGACAUAAGAAAUGGGUGAAAUAGAUUUUUUUAAAUGAGGGUAUUUUGGUCAUUUGGUAAUAAAAAGAAUAAAAAGGGAAAAAGAUGACAAAAAUCAUCAUCUUCUCCAUAGUGAACGAAAUCAGCAAGGGGGAAGCCAUAUUUAGGGUUUUCAAGCUUCCAAGAUCCAUAGUAAGUGAUUUCAAGCCCCGUUUUUAAUGUUCUUCGCAUUUUUAGAAUCCUCGUAGCUCGGUUUAGCUUAUUUUAUCAAUAAUUCAUGUUAGGGUUCAUAUUUGGAAAAAUACCCACAGGUGAAAUGUGUUUAUUUUGUUGUUUUAUGGUGGAAUAUGAAGCUAGAAUUUAUGUUAAACAACUUUUGCUCAGUGAUUUUAAGCAAAAACGAGUAAAUCGACAUAAUCGGUAAAAAUAUUUAUUGUUCAUAAGUGUAUGUUAGAGUGAGAAUUUGAUGUUGCCAUAGAAGGGAAAAGUGUUCAGCAUGUUGUAAAACAUAAGAAUAAGGUGGGAAAUUUAAUUUUCGAGCUUGGGGACAAAGAUGUAAUUAUGAAAAAGUUUAGGGACAAAAUUGUAAUUUUUAUAAAAGUUGAGUCGAAGCUUGUUUUAAUAAAUGUGAAUAUUAAACAAGCUCAAUUUUCUAUUAUAGAUCAAGAAAGAUGAGAAAUCAACCUUAAUCGGGGAAAAGAGAAGAUUGAGGAUUAAAUUGCAAAAUCUUUACAUUUUGUAUCGAGGUAAAUUGUAUGUAAUUAAUACAUUGUUAUAAUUAUUUUUGUUAUAUUUCAUGACAAUAUACGUGAAAGGAUCGAUAUUAUAAUGUGUUUUGGAUAAAUUGUAAAUAUAUUUGGAAAGUAAGAAUCUUUGUGAAACUGUCGUAAUGGUAAAAAAAUUUGAAUAAGGAUAUCGAUGAACAAGUGUGUAGUACUGUGUGAAGGCUACUACGUGUAUCGAUAAAUAAUGGUCACAUGUGUAGUACUAAGUGAAGGCUACUAUGUGUACCGAGAAGUUUUGAGCACGUGUGUAGUACUGUGUGAAAGCUACUACGUGUAUCGGUAAACUAUGGUUACAUGUGUGGUACUAAGUGAAGGCUGCUAUGGAUACUGAAAAGCUUUGGUAACGUAUGUAGUACUAUGUGAAGGCUACUACAUGAGCCGUAAAACUUGAUCACGUGUGUAGUACUAUGUGAAGGCUACUACGUGAACUGUAAAACUGAUCACGUGUGUAGUACUAUGUGAAGGCUACUACGUGUAUCGAAUGAUAAAAAUAAUAUGAGUAGUACUGUGUGAAAAGCUCUGAAUAUUAUUUUUUAUACCGUCAUGAUGAUGAAAUAUGAGUAUAUGAUCGGAAUGUGGUAAGUUGUGAAAAGUGAUUGAAGUGAUGAAGUUUGAGUUGUGUUAUAAAAUACAUGGUUAUAGUGCUAUGUGAAUAAGGAAUGUUGGAAUAGAAUAGAUUUGGACAGUGACAGUGAUAUUAGUUUGAAAAAUCACCAAAAAUUAUAGAAAUUGAGUUAGAUGCUGAAUUAUAAAUGAAAUUUAAGCUGAAUGAGUCUAUUUUCAUAUGGAAGAAACAGAGUAAGCAAAGGAGUUGUAUAUUUGGGGAUAUUUAAAUUUUAUUGAGACAGGGUUGGAUUGAUUUCGAAAUCCCCUAUUCCAAAUUUAGAAAUUCACCAAAAAUUAUAAAAAAAAGUAAUUAUGGCUUGAAAUUUACAUUUUUGAAUUCCUUAAUGAGUCUAUUUUUAAGAGAAAUAAAUGAGAACAUUGUUUGAAUUUUUUACAAAGAGUUAAAUAAAUUUUAGUAUGGAGAGGUCAGAACUGUAAGGCAGUGAAAUAGGGGAAGGUUUAAAGAAUAAACUGUACUAAUUUGAUGAACCAAAAAUUCUGAAAAUUUUAUGGUGGAAAGUUAUAUGAGUCUAGUUUUAGGGAAAAUUUACAGAUCUUAAUUUGGAGUUCUGUAGCUCUGGAUAAAAUAAUUUAGCGACUAUGAUGCAGAAAAAUAGUUUGCUGGAAAUUGAAUAAAUGAUAGAUUUAUGUGUGAUAGAAAUUUUAUUAUAUAUGAUAUUAUUCUAGAAAUUUAUUUAUCGAUUACAUACAUACUUUAUACGCUGUAAGCUUACUUCUCUUUAUUUUUCUUUUUUUUUUAUAGUGAUAUUAAUCAGCUCGGGAAUUGGACGGAGUCAGGACAUCAUCCUCACUAUCAUCAUCAUCUUUUGGGUAUUUUGCAACCAAUACUUUUGAAAAAUGGCAUGUAUAGAUGACUUUAUGUAAUGUGGUAUAAAUAUGUAUAUAUAUAGUAUUGUUCAGUUAAAUAUGUUGGAGUUUAUUAAUGGAUAAAUUAUGUUUGAAUAUAUAUAACUGUAAUUGGUUGAAAAUAUUGAAGUUGGUUGAAAUUGUCUUUGGAAAUCUGUAGGGGGUUUUAUGUAAAAAUAAGUAGAAAUGCUACCGAAAUUUUUAUAGAAAAAAAUUUAAGUGUUUGAGUUCUAGUAAUAUCUCAUACUCUGUUUCGGUAAGGAACACGGGUAAGGGGUGUUACAUUUUAAUGGUAUUAGAGCUAUGGUUUAGCCAGUUCUCGGAUUAGGGUAAUGUGUGUAAAAGUCUAUCUAUACAUGCCAUUUAAAUAUUGUGAUACUGAGAUGAUUUCUGACAAUUUAAAAUUUUGUUUUAUAUAGUAAAUGGAUCUUGACUGAAGUGUGGUAGAUGAUGUUGAAAGUAACGCGCCGGCUCCCGCACAAGGGAUCGCGCAUGAAGAAAGUAGACCUGAGACACAUAGUCAGGAUGAGGCUCGGGAAACUUUCCUUCGAACGAUGAGUAAUUGGUAUAUAGAAUUUGUUCGUGCAAAUCCGAAUGUUCAACCCCCUCCACCCCCUCCUAUUCCUCAACCGGUUCCCGCAGCUCCAAAAAAUGUUGACUUGGUAAGAUCAAGUAGGCCUCCCGUUGACAAAAUCCAAAAGCAUGGAGCUGAAGAUUUUAGAGCUAAUAUAGAUGAUGACCCACAGAAGGCAGAGUUUUGGCUUGAAAAUUCCAUUCGAGUAUUUGAUGAAUUGUCUUGUACUCCCGAAGAAUGUUUAAUGUGUGUAAUAUCUUUGUUAAAAGAUUCAGCGUAUCGUUGGUGGAAAAGAUUGGUAUCUGUGGUUCCGAAAGAAAGGGUUACGUGGGAAUUCUUCCAGGAUGAAUUCAGAAAAAAAUACAUAAGCCAAUGGUUCAUCGAUCAAAAACGCAAGGAAUUUCUCGAGUUGAAGCAGGGCCAAAUGUCUGUGGCUGAGUAUGAAAGAGAGUUUGUUAGAUUGAGUAAAUAUGCUCAAGAAUGUGUACCCACCGAAGCUGCUAUGUGUAAAAGGUUUGAAGAUGGUUUAGAUGAAGACAUUAGAAUAUUUGUUGGGAUGUUGGAACUGAAGGAAUUUGUAGUAUUGGUUGAUCAAGCUUGUAAGGCUGAAGAAUUGAAUAAAGAAAAGAGAAAAGCUGCGAUGGAGGCUCGAGAUACAAGAAAGCGUCCUAUGAGUAAACCAUUUCAAACUCAGUCAAAGAAGUCUAAAGAGGUGAAUCCUAAAGUGAUUGCUUCAACUGUAUAUCCACGUUGAGACCGGGGAAAAUUGUAUUUGGGUUCUGAAGCUCAAGCUACAUCGGUAUCAAGUGUGGGUAGUAUGAAGCCUAGUAGACCGGAGUGUUAGCAUUGUGAAAGACAACAUCCUGGUGAAUGCUGGUUAAUUAGCCGGGCUUGUUUCAAGUGUGGUUCUCGACAACAUUAUAUUAAAGAUUGCCCUGAGAAAAUUGAAGAAGAAAAAUUUCAGAAUGUUAGAUCGAGUGAUACUGUCAGCAGAGGUAGACCGUCGAGAAACACCGGAACUAGAGAUAGUGGUAAAAGUGGAAUGAAGGGUACAACUACAAAAUCAGAACCUCGAACACCUGCUAGAGCUUAUGCUAUAUGUGCUCGUGAGGAUGCAUCAUCUCCCGAUGUGAUUACUGGUACAUUUUCUCUUUAUGAUAUUGAUGUUGUUGCUUUGAUUGACCCUGGGUCUACUCAUUCAUAUGUAUGUGUGAAUUUAGUAUCUAAUAAAAAUUUGUCUGUUGAAAACAAUAAAUUUGUUGUAAAAGUAUCAAACCCUUUAGGCUAAUAUGUUUUAGUUGAUAAGGUUUGCAAGAAUUGUCCUUUGACGAUUCAAGGUUACUGUUUCCCGGCUAAUCUGAUGCUCUUACCAUUUGAUGAGUUCAAUGUUAUCUUGGGGAUGGAUUGGUUGAUUUUGCAUGAUGCCAAGGUAAAUUGUAGACAGAAAAUCCUUGAAUUGAAAUGUGGAAAUGGUGAAACUUUUCGGGUUGAAGCGGAGGAGCUGAAUAAACUGCCUAGGGUGAUUUCGCAUAUGUCUGCUCAGAAGUAUAUGAGAAAAGGAUGUGAAGCUUAUCUUGCUUAUGUGUUGAAUACUAGUAUAACUGGGUCGAAGCUUGAUUCAGUUUCGAUAGUCUCUGAAUUUCCAGAUGUAUUUCCAAAGGAAUUGCCUAGGUUACCUCCGAUUAGAGAAGUUGAGUUCGCUAUCGAUUUAUUACCUGGUACCGCACCGAUUUCUAUUGCUCCAUAUCGGAUGGCUCUGACUGAAUUGAAAGAAUUAAAGGCUCAGUUGCAAGAAUUGACGGAUAAAGGGUUUGUGAGACCGAGUUUUUCUCCUUGGGGUGCUCCUGUAUUAUUUGUGAAGAAGAAAGAUUGUUCUAUGAGACUUUGUAUUGAUUACCGUCAGCUCAACAAAGUGACUAUAAAGAACAAGUAUCCCUUACCGAGAAUUUAUGAUUUGUUUGACCAACUAAAAGGAGCGACAGUGUUUUCAAAGAUUGAUUUAAGAUCUGGUUACUAUCAGUUGAGAGUUAGGGAGUCAGAUGUACCAAAGACUGCUUUCAGAACGAGGUAUGGACACUACGAAUUUUUGGUAAUGCCUUUUGGUUUAACUAAUGCUCCGGCUAUUUUUAUGGAUUUGAUGAAUCGAAUUUUUCGACCGUAUCUGGAUAAGUUUGUGGUGGUGUUCAUAGGUGAUAUUUUAAUUUAUUCUUGGGAUGAAUCCGAGCAUGUAGAACAUUUGAGAACUGUGUUGCAGAUUCUGAGGGAGAAGAAAUUGUAUGCUAAAUUCAGCAAAAGUGAGUUUUGGCUUCCUGAAGUUGGAUUCUUGGGACAUAUAGUUUUAAGUGACGGUAUUCGGGUUGAUCCAAACAAAGUUUCAGCAAUUGUUGAUUGGGAACCACCAAAGAAUGUAUCCGAAGUUAGAAGCUUUCUGGGCUUAGCCAGGUAUUACAGAUGCUUUGUCAAGGGAUUCUCUAUGAUUGCUUCUCCUAUGACCAAGUUAUUGCAAAAGAAUGUCAAGUUUGAAUGGACCGAUAAAUGUCAACAAAGUUUUGAGAAAUUGAAGGCUUUAUUGACUGAGGCACCAGUGUUGGUACAAUCCGAGUCAGGGAAGGAGUUUGUAGUUUACAGUGAUGCAUCAUUGAAUGGUCUUGGAUGUGUGUUAAUGCAAUAGGGCAAAGUAAUAGCUUAUGCUUCGAGACAGCUGAAACCGCAUGAGAAGAAUUAUACAACGCAUGAUUUAGAGUUGGCUGCCAUUGUUUUUGCUUUAAAAAUUUGGCGCCAUUACUUGUAUGGUGAGAAGUGCCGAAUCUUCACUGAUCAUAAGAGCUUGAAGUAUUUAAUGAAUCAAAAAGACUUGAAUUUGCGACAACGAAGAUGGCUUGAGCUAAUAAAAGAUUAUGAGCUGGUGAUUGAUUAUCAUCCCGGAAAAGCUAAUGUGGUUGCUGAUGCCUUGAGCAGAAAAUCUUUAUUUGCUUUGAGAGCUAUGAAUAUGAGAUUAAAUUUAUCUGAUGAUGGUUCAAUUUUGGAUGAAUUGAGGGCUAGACCGUUAUUUCUUCAGCAAAUUCGGGAAGCUCAAAAGAAUGAUAGUAAAUUGCAAGCCAGGAAGGCUCAGUGCGAAGUAGGUGUUGACUCAGAUUUUCGAAUUAGAUCGGAUGAUUAUCUGAUGUUCCGGGACAGGGUAUGUAUACCGAGAAAUGAUGAGUUAAUUCGGACAAUUUUAUGUGAGGCACACAGUGGUGAUUUGUCAGUUCACCCAAGUAAUGUGAAAAUGUAUAAUGAUUUGAAGAAAUUGUAUUGGUGGCCGAGCAUGAAAAAGGAUAUCUCUGAAUUUGUAUCAAAGUGUUUAAUUUGCCAACAAGUGAAAGCUGAGCAUCAAGUACCAUCGGGUUUACUCCAACCGGUAAUGAUUCCAGAGUGGAAAUGGUACAGCAUCACGAUGGAUUUUGACACAGGAUUACCUCUAUCUCCAAGGAAGAAGGAUGUUAUUUGGGUGAUCGUUGAUAGAUUGACAAAGUCGGCUCAUUUUAUACCGGUACGCAUAGAUUACUCACUUGAUAGGUUGGCGAAGCUAUAUGUUGCUGAAAUUGUGAGAUUGCACGGGGUGCCUUCUAUUAUAUCGGAUAGAGAUCCGAGGUUUACUUCGAGGUUUUGGAUAAAGUUACAAGAGGCCCUAAGUACAAAAUUGAACUUUAGUACUGCAUUCCAUCCGCAAAUCGACGGACAAUCUGAAAGAGUGAUUCAAGUUCUUGAAGACAUGCUCCGGUGCUGUAUUCUAGAAUUUGAAGGCAGUUGGGAGAAAUAUAUACCAUUGGUUGAAUUUGCUUACAACAAUAGUUAUCAGUCGAGUAUACGAAUGGCACCGUACGAAGCAUUAUAUGGACGUAAGUGUAGAACACCUUUGUAUUGGACUGAGCUCAGUGAGAAUCAGAUUCACGGAGUUGAUUUGGUGAAAGAAACUGAAGAAAAGGUGAAAGUAAUUCGUGACUGCUUAAAGGCUGCUUCAGAUCAACAAAAGUCAUAUGUGGAUUUAAAGAGAAAAGAAAUUGAGUUUCAAGUGGGUGAUAAAGUGUUCUUAAAAGUAUCUCCGUGGAAGAAGAUUUUGAGAUUUAGCCGUAAAGGCAAAUUGAGUCCACGUUUUAUUGGACCGUAUGAAGUUAUUGAAAGGAUUGGACCCGUAGCUUAUCGGUUAGCCUUGCCAGCAGAGUUGGAAAGAAUACAUAAUGUAUUUCACGUAUCGAUGUUGCGACGCUAUCGUUCAGAUCCUUCACAUAUAGUUUCUCCUACAGAGAUUGAAGUUCGACCAGAUAUGACUUAUGAGGAGGAACCAAUAAAUAUUUUAGCUCGAGAGGUCAAACAAUUAAGGAAUAAGAGUGUAGCUUUAGUAAAAAUGUUGUGGAAAAAACAUGGGAUGGAAGAGGCUACGUGGGAACCGGAGGAAGCUAUGAGGAAAUAGUACCCAAACCUCUUUUCCGGUAAGAUUUUUAAGUUCGAAAAUCCCUAAGGGGGGAGAAUUAUAACAGCCCGAUUCUGGGCCUAGUCGGAACAGUGGUUUCGGAACCACAAAUCUGACAAGGGAAAAUAUGGUUAUUAUUAUAUUUUUAUGGUCUACAAUUCCACGGAAAAAUUUCGUAAAAAUUUCGUUCGAAAAUUUCGACGUUUGGGCACUCCAUUUAAUCAAAAGGACUAAAUUGUAAAAAGUGCAAAAGUUGAGUUUUACAUGUUAGAAGUGUCUAAUUGUUAUAAAAUUAUAAAUUUGGGGUCCUUAUGUGGGAAUUAGACUAUUAGUUAAUUGAUGGAAAAAAAUAGACAUAAGAAAUGAGUGAAAUAGAUUUUUUUUAAAUGGGGGUAUUUUGGUCAUUUGGUAAUAAAAAGAAUAAAAAGGGAAAAAGAUGACAAAAAUCAUCAUCUUCUCCAUAGUGAACGAAAUCAGCAAGGGGGAAGCCAUAUUUAGGGUUUUCAAGCUUCCAAGAUCCAUAGCAAGUGAUUUCAAGCCCCGUUUUUAAUGUUUUUCGCAUUUUUGGAAUCCCCGUAGCUCGGUUUAGCUUAUUUUAUCAAUAAUUCAUGUUAGGGUUCAUAUUUGGAAAAAUACCCACAUGUGAAAUGUGUUUAUUUUGCUGUUUUAUGGUGGAAUAUGAAGCUAGAAUUUAUGUUAAACAACUUUUGCUCAGUGAUUUUAAGCAAAAACGAGUAAAUCGACAUAAUCGGUAAAAAUAUUUAUUGUUCAUAAGUGUAUGUUAGAGUGAGAAUUUGAUGUUUCCAUAGAAGGGAAAAGUGUUCAGCAUGUUGUAAAACAGAAGAAUAAGGUGUGAAAUUUAAUUUUUGAGCUUGGGGACAAAGAUGUAAUUAUGCAAAAGUUUAAGGACAAAAUUGUAAUUUCUAUAAAAUUUGAGUCGAAGCUUGUUUUAAUAAAUGUGAAUAUUAAACAAGAUCAAUUUGCUAUUAUAGAUCAAGAAAGACGAGAAAUCAACCUUAAUCAGGGAAAAGAGAAGAUUGAGGAUUAAAUUGCAAAAUCUUUACAUUUUGUAUCGAGGUAAAUUGUAUGUAAUUAAUACAUUGUUAUAAUUAUUUUUGUUAUAUUUCAUGACAAUAUACGUGAAAGGAUCGAUAUUAUAAUGUGUUUUGGACAAAUUGUAAAUAUAUUUGGAAAGUAAGAAUCUUUGUGAAACUGUCGUAAUGGUAAAAAAAUUUGAAUAAGGAUAUCGAUGAACAAGUGUGUAGUACUGUGUGAAGGCUACUACGUGUAUCGAUAAAUAAUGGUCACAUGUGUAGUACUAAGUGAAGGCUACUAUGUGUACCGAGAAGUUUUGAGCACGUGUGUAGUACUUUGUGAAAGCUACUACGUGUAUCGGUAAACUAUGGUUACAUGUGUGGUACUAAGUGAAGGCUGCUAUGGAUACCGAAAAGCUUUGGUCACGUAUGUAGUACUAUGUGAAGGCUACUACGUGAACUGUAAAACUGAUCACGUGUGUAGUACUAUGUGAAGGCUACUACGUGUAUCGAAUGAUAAAAAUAAUAUGAGUAGUACUGUGUUAAAAGCUCUGAAUAUUAUUUUUUUAUAAUGUAUGACGAUGAAAUAUGAGUAUGAGAUCGGAAUGUGAUAAGUUGUGAAAAGUGAUUGAAGUGAUGAAGUUUGAGUUGUGUUAUAAAAUAAAUGGUUAUAGUGCUAUGUGAAUAAGGAAUGUUGGAAUAGAACAGAUUUGGACAGUGACGGUGAUGUUAGUUUGAAAAAUCACCAAAAAUUAUAAAAAUUGAGUUAGAGGCUGAAUCAUAAACGAAAUUGAAGCUGAAUGAGUCUAUUUUCAUAUGGAAGAAACAGAGUAAGCAAAGGAGUUGUAUAUUUGGGGAUAUUUAAAUUUUAUUGAGACAAGGUUGGAUUGAUUUCGAAAUCCCCUGUUCCAAAUUUAGAAAAUCACAAAAAAUUUACAAAAAUAAUUAUGGUUUGAAAUUUACAUUUUUGAAUUCCUUAAUGAGUUUGUUUUUAAGAUAAAGAAAUGAGAACAUUUUUUUAAUUUUGUACAAAGAUUUAAAUAAAUUUUAGUAUGGAGAGGUCAGAACUGUAAGGCAGUGAAAUAGGGGAAGGUUUAAAGAAUAAAAUGUACUAAUUGGAUGAACCAAAAAUUCUUAAAAUUUUAUGGUGGAAAGGUAUAUGAGUUUAGUUUCAUGGAAAAUUUACAGAUCUUAAUUUGGAGUUCCGUAUCUCUAGAUCAAAAUAAUUUAGCAACUGUGACGCAGAAAAACAAUUUGCUGGAAAUUGAAUGAAUGAUAGAUUUAUGUGUGAUAGAAAUUUUAUUAUAUAUGAUAUUAUUCUAGAAAUUUAUUUAUUGAUUACAUACAUACUUUCUAAUCUGUAAGCUUACUCAUCUUUAUUUUUCUUUUGUUUUAUAGUGAUAUUAAUCAGCUCGGGAAUUGGACGGAGUCAGGACAUCAUCCUCACUAUCAUCAUCAUCUUUUGUGUAUUUUGCAACCAAUACUUUUGAAAAAUGGCAUGUAUAGAUGACUUUAUGUAAUGUGGUAUAAAUAUGUAUAUAUAUAGUAUUGCUCGAUUAAAUAUGUUGGAGUUUAUUAAUGGAUAAAUUAUGUUUGAAUAUAUAUAACUGUAAUUGGUUGGAAAUAUUGAAGUUGGUUGAAAUUGUCUUUGGAAAUCUGCAGGGGGUUUUAUGUAAAAAUAAGCAGAAAUGCUGCCGAAAUUUUUAUAAAAAAAAAUUUAAGUGUUUGAGUUCUAGUAAUACCUCAUACUCUGUUUCGGUAAGGAACUCGGGUAAGGGGUGUUACAUUUUAGUGGUAUCAAAGCUAUGGUUUAGCCGGUUCUUGGAUUAGUAUAAUGUGUGUAAAAGUAUAUUUAUACAUGCCAUUUAAAUAUUGUGAUAGUGAGAUGAUUUCUGACAAUUUAAAAUUUUAUUUUAUAUAGUAAAUGGAUCCUGACUGAAGUGUGGCAGAUGAUGUUGAAAGUAACGCGUCGGCUCCCGCACAAGGGACCGCGCAUGAAGAAAGUAGACAUGAGACACAUAGUCAGGAUGAGGCUCGGGAAACUUUCCUUCGAAUGAUGAGUAAUUGGUAUACAGAAUUUGUUCGUGCAAAUCCGAAUGUUCAACCCCCUCCACCCCCUCCUAUUCCUCAACCGGUUCUCGCAGCUCCACAAAAUGUUGACUUGGUAAGAUCAAGUAGGCCUCCCGUUGACAAAAUCCGAAAGCAUGGAGCUGAAGAUUUCAAAGCUAAUAUAGAUGAUGACCCACAGAAGGUAGAGUUUUGGCUUGAAAAUUCCAUUUGGGUAUUUGAUGAAUUGUCUUGUACUCCCGAAGAAUGUUUAAAGUGUGUAAUAUCUUUGUUAAAAGAUUCAGGGGGUUUUAUUUAAAAAUAAGCAGAAAUGCUGCCGAAAUUUUUAUAAAAAAAUUUAAGUGUUUGAGUUCUAGUAAUACCUCAUACUCUGUUUCGGUAAGGAACACGGGUAAGGGGUGUUACAUAGGAGAUUCAAAGGAUCAGGAAAAUUCAUGUAACUAGACAUACAUGCAAUCUUGCAUUCAUUGUAACUUGCUCUUCAUGCAUUUAGCUCCUUCAUUAAUAUGUUUUUAUUUUGGUAGCCACUCCUUGGCCGAAUAGGUGCUUGGGGAAGUGAACAAUCAGCUCAAGAUUCUUUGAAUAUGGCCAUGCAUGUACUAUCCAAUUCAUUGAACCUAAUGUGCAUGAAUCUUGAUUAAAUGCACCCUAAAUUUGACUCACCUACAAGAACAAAUGAACCAAAAUUAAUUCACAUAAAAUUCAGCUGAACAUGCAUUAAUAUAAUUUUAGACACACUAAUUAACAUAAUAAUUAACUUAUGCCAAAUUUAUUAUUAUCUUAACAAGACAAAUUAAAUUCGGCAUUGACUAAGACAUAAUAAAAACUUGUAAUAGCUAAGAACAUAUUAAUGAGUUGUAAUAAUACUUUCUAAUUUAUUUUAAAUAAUUAAUUUAUUCCAGCAAGUAAAUUUAGUGAGCUAAAAAAAUCUAAUAACGAGCUCAAUGAGCUAAAUUGAGCUCGUGUGAGUUGACUUGAGCUCGAAUGAGCUAAACCACAUGGAAAGUAGUUUGAUUGAGCUGAAAAUGAGCUUUUCGAGCUUUGUUUGGGCUAGGUUGAGCUUUCAAGGAUGGCGAGCCUCGCUUUGUAAGCUGAACCACGAGCAUUCCUGGCCAGGAUCGUAUCAUCUAUGAAGACAUCUUAACCCAGAGAUACUUAGAUCCCAUUUAAAAAGUCAUCACAAGUCGGUUGAUUUUCCAAACUUGAUAAUUGACAAUUUCGGUGAAUGAAAUUUAAUAAAUUUCAUUCCAUCUGUGCAUGUAUCAGAGCAAGUAAGUGAUUCACUCUAAGGCGACACAAUAUAUCCCUCCUAAAAACACCAAAAAGUAUCAAAAUUCUGUGCUCAAAGGCAACAUAUCACUGCCAUCCAAACACAUCAGAGAUCACCGAAGUGCUGAUCCCGAAGACAACAUAUCACAUCCCUCCAAAACACACUAGAAAGAACCAAGGUGUUAGGCCUAAAGGAAACAAAUCACAUCCUUAUUGGCAUGAAACUUGUAUCGUAACAUUUUCACUAAGUUUACUAUGACUCAUUAUAAUAAAAGGCACCUAUCUUGUAACACCCCUCAGUCGUCACUGUCAUUGGAUUAGGGUUAAAGAUGCUAUGAUAAUUAAUAGGAGAAACACAUGCUAUUUCAAUUCAAAAUUUAUCUUUAAACUAACACCAAUAUAUAACUAGACAAUAAUCAAGCUAUUCAUAAAAAACGAGGCUUAAAUCGAGGUUCUAAAACUCUAAAAUCAAUUCAGAAAUAAGAAGGGACUAAUUCGAAACAAAACAAAAAGUAAGGUAAAAAUAUAAAACAAGGGUCACAUGGUUGUGUAACAAGUUUGCCGUGUGUGCUAUGGGAUAUGGUCUUGUUGUUCAACUGUAUGUGAGGACUAAAACCGUGUGGAAGGAGACACACGACUGUGUCUUCCAACCGUGCGACUAACUAUGGCCGUGUGUGAAAAAUGAAAACUAAAACUACACAGACCACAUAACCUUUCCAAGAACCUGUGUAUGGCACACAGCCGUGUUUCAGCCUGUGUGAGCUGCAAUGUACCUUCAAUAACAAGUCAAUCAUUUCAUGCUUAUUUAAGCUACAAGUAUACCAUUUACCAAUCAUUCAACCUAUUCAAAUCACACCAAAAAAUUACUAAAACAUGCAAUUUGCCUAGUUCUAACCAAUAUGCCUUAGGGCACUGUCACAAGCAACAAUCCAAACUAACAUCCAGUGUCAUUUUCUAACCAAUUUAAGCUUGCCUAACAAUGUUAUACAAAAUGCCAAAUAUCACCAAUUCAUUCACACCCAACAAAACGUAUAUUAAAGUGUAUAUAUUGGCAUGUAUCCAACAACAACCAUACCAAUUCACCUAAUCAACUAAAACAUCUCAAAUCAACAAUCAAAGUACUAACCAUUAAACAAGUAACCAAAGACCAACUAAACAUAUAUGGCAUUCAAUAUUCCAUCAACCAUGCAAUUAACCAUUUAAACCCAUUUCAACUAUUUUAUCUUCACAUACCACAUCAACCAUAAUCAACCACAUCAUUAUAUUAACAAAUUCACAUGGCUAGGAAAUCUCAAACAUACUUUAAAUACAUCAGACACUUAUGUACAUAACUUCAGUCCUAUUGCAGUUCUAUUACAUGCCACAUAUCCCAAAAUAUAUGUUUUCAAAGUCUACAGAAAGAUAGCUGGAUAGUAUGAUCCUCAACUUGAUCCGAUUGCCUAAUUCCACAAAAUGAUAUCUACAAGAGAACAGGAAAAAAAACAACAUGAGUAAGCUUCAAGGAGCUUACUAAGUUCAUAAGUUGAAACAAUAUAAAUUACCUUGAAAACAUGUUUAAUAAUUAACAAACUCUUUAACUAAUAUUAACUCUAUCAACCACAAGCAUUCAACAGGCGAGGUUCAUAUACAUGAGUCGUUUAAUCAUCCCAUUUGUACGAUAUCAAACAUUAUCAAGCCACAAAAUAAUAUCUAAAAUCAUGAAAACUUAUACAAGUAAUUAAUAAGGCAUCAUAACCAAACAUCAAUUACAUAUCAUCACCAUGUCAUUUAACCAUUAAAAAUUUGCCUGAUGACCGAUAAAACAGAUACGGAUACGCGGUUAUCCACCAAAGACACGCUAAAAUGCUCAACUAAGCCAAUCUAACCAAGAACACGCCUGGACACCAAGUGGCUAGCCCGUAGGCUAACAUCCCUCUAGAAACACAAUUGGGCACCAAAUUCCAAGCCCGUAGGGCAACACCCCUUACCCGAGACCGUUACCAGAGUCGAGCACGAGGUGUUACCUGACUUAACUUACUAGUUCGGAGCAUAAAAAAAGUUUCUUUUAAAAUUAAUUCACUCACAUUCAAUCAAUAUGUCCCUAAAAAGGAUCAUCGAGACCCUUAAACAUGCAAUAGAAACGGUUCGGGUCCAAACUGGGAACAUUAAAAAUUUUCCGAUUACUUAAACAAAUCAAAAUAAUUUAUUUCACUAUUCACAAUAAAACUGUCCACCUGCGCAGCAGUCACUAAAUUAAAUAUAACUCAAGUUAAAAAACUCAAAAUUUAGAUCGGUAAAUUUUAUCCAAAACUAGACUCAUAUACCUUCUUAUCAUAAAAUUUUCAGAAUUUUUCGGUUGGCCGAUUAGUACAGUUUAUUAGUUAAAGUCUUCUCUGUUUCACUGUUUGACUGUCCUGACCUCUCAUCACUAAAAAAUAGUUAUCUCAUUUUAUAGUCUUCAUAUGGUGCUACCACUUGUUUCUACUGAAAAUAAACUCAAUAAGGAAUCAAAUCAUAUGAAUUAUAACUUCUAAUUAUUUCUGUACAAUUUUUAAUGAUUUUCUAAAUUUAGAACAGGGGACUUCAGAAUCCAUUCUGACCCUAUCUCACUAAAAUUCAAAUAUCUCAUAAUAUAAAAUUCCUUUACUGCACUGUUUCUUUAAUAUGAAAAUAGACUCAAUAAUAUUUAGUUAUAUAGCUCAUUAACUCUCUAAUUCCUCUCCUACUAAUUUUUGUGAUUUUUCAAAAUCACGUUACUGCUGCUGUUCAAAAACUGUAUCAUUGCAAAUUUUUACUCUUUUAUAAUUUUUUGGUAUUAACCAACAUUUAAACAUCCAUAAUACCAAACUUGUUUUUAAUUAGCCAUUUCAAUAGCAAAUCAUUAGCCAUAUCAUAUGAACACGCUCAAAAUGACUAAGUCCCUAUACAUGCCAUAACUUUACACGUUUCAAAAUCACAUAAUACCGAGAUAUCUGUAGAUAGUGUGAGACGAACUCCGACGUCUUUGUGAUCCCCGAACUGACUUGGUGAUACUAUAAAAGAAAGAAGUAAAAUAAAGGAAGUAAGCAUAAAGCUUAGUAAGUUUACAAGUAAAUAAAUAACAACAUUUGUCACAAAUAAUUGUAUUCAUAAAUUAUCAUCAAGUCUCAUGAUCUUUACUUUCUUCUUUACUUACUCCCUUACUUGCUUGCUUAAACAACUCAUGGUUAUAACUUACUUCUUCCUCGCUGAAAUUUCUUUUCUCAACUGAUAACUGAGAUACUCUUAAUCUUUAUAUCUCACCUUAACUUGUCUAUUAUACUUUUACCUAAACUUUCAUGUAACAUAGUCUAUUUACUAGCCCGUUGAACCACUUGGAAUACUAAGGAUACUCGGGUCUCCUGUCUGAUAAUAACAUGCCAAAGCUAUGUCCCAAACAUAGUCUUACAUGGGAUGUUUCUUGUACUGCCAAUGCCAUAUCCCAGAUAUGGUCUUACAUGGGAGUUCUCAUAUAGGUGCCCAUGCCAUGUCCCAGACAUGGUCUUACGGGGGACCUCUCAUCUCGGUGCCAACGCCAUGUCCCAGACAUGGUCUUACAUGGGACCUCUCAUAAUCUCAAUGAUGCCAAUGCCAUGUCCCAGACAUGGUCUUACAUGGGACCUCUUUACCCAUAUGUCAUGACAUUUGUAUCCAAUACAUUCCUCAUGUUUCAACGGGGCCUUUUAACACUGAUUCUCUGUCAUCUCAUACUUGAGUUAACAUUAGAUAUUUUCAUAAAAUAAAUACAUAAUUGCUGAAAAAUAACAACAUUAAUAAUAAUUAUCAAAAUAUUUCAUUUAUUUACCUUAAACUUACCUCGGUACAAAAUAUGAUCAAAUCUAGCACUUUAGUCUUCAACCUUUUUCUUUCCCCAGUCCAACUCCAGAUUUUGUUCUUCUUGAUCUAUAAUAGAAAAUUUAGCUUAUUUAAUACUCACAUUCAUCAAAACAGUCCUUAACUCAAACUUUAACAAAAUUACGUUUUUGCCCCUAAACUUUUACAUAUUUACACUUUUGUCCCAAAGCUCGGAAACUAAACUUCAUCCCUUAUUCUUAUGUUUUAUGACAUUCUGAACAUUUUUCCCUUCUAUGGCAACAUCAAAUUCUCACUCUAACACUUAUGAACAUUAGGUAUUUUUACCGAUUAUGUCGUUUUACUCGUUUUCACUUAAAAUCACUUAGCAAAAGUUGUUUAACAUAAUUUCAAGCUUCAUAUUCUACCAUAAAACAUCAAAAUAAACACAUUUCACCUAUGGGUAUUUUUCCAAAUAUGAAUCCUAGGUUAAAUUAUUGUUAGAAUAAGCUAAAUCAAGUUACCGGGACUCCAAAAACGUAAAGAACAUUAAAAACGGGGCUAGAACAGACUUACAAUCGAGCUUGGAAGCUUGAAAAACCCUAUCCAUGAUUUCCCCUUGUGAAAUUCGGCCAUGGGGUUGAAGAUGGACAAAAAUUGGCUUUUAAUUUUGUUUUUAAUUCAUUUUAAUAACUAAAUAACCAAAAUGCCCUUAAUGAAAAACUUUGGAAACAUGCCUAACCAUGUCCAUUUUUGUUAACCAACUUAACCAAUGGUCUAAUUACCAUAUAAGGACCUCCAAUUUAAAAUUUCAUAACAAUUGGGCACCUCUAACAUGUAGAACUCAACUUUUGCACUUUUUACAAUUUAGUCCUUUUGACUAAAUUGAGUGCCCAAACGUCGAAUUUUUCGAACGAAAUUUUCACGAAAUCAUUUUGUUAAAUCUUAGACCAUAAAAAUAUAAUAAAAUAAUUUUUUUCCUCAUUAGAUUUGUGGUCCCGAAACCACUGUUUCGAGUAGGCCCAAAAUUAGGAUGUUACAUAACCAAUGGUGUAAUUACCAUAUAAGGACCUCCAAUUUAAAUUUUCAUAACAAUUUGACACCUCUAACAUGUAGAACUCAACUUUUUUACUUUUUACAAUUUAGUCCUUUUUACUAAAUUGAGUGCCCAAACGUCGAAAAUUUCACAAAAUCAUUCCGUGAAAUCGUAAACCAUAAAAAUAUAAGAAAAAUAAAAUUUUCCUCAUCGAAUUUGUGGUCCUGAAACUAUUGUUCCGACUAGGCCCAAAAUCGAGAUGUUACAGGUAGGCUUUACAUCCGCCCCCAGAAACACACUAGAAUCACUGUAAAUAUAACUCGACAAUCCUCAACAAAUGCUAGACUCUGGUAUAUUUAGUAUACAAUAACAAGUUAAGAAUUAUCAUGUAACAACCCGUUUUUAGUGGUGUUAAAAAUAGUGGUUUCGGGACCAAAAAUUCGACCAAUGAGACCGUAAUUAUUAUUUAAUUCAUAUGAGUCAAAUAUAGUUUUAUAUUGAAUUUUGAUUUGAUAAAUUUUUACUAAUUGAACAAAUAGUUAAGUAUAAGUGGGUUGUCUUUAAGUAAGUGGUUUUGGAAAAUGAGAUAUCGGGACCUUGUUUUUGUAAAUCGAGCCCGUAGAUAUUUUUAUUAAAUAUUUGCAGAGCUAUUAUAUUAGUAUGUGAAGGUUCAGUUUGAGAAUUUUAAUGUUUGGUUAGUUAAUUAAAGAAAAAAGACUAAGUUAUAAAAGACGUAAAACUUCAUCAUUAUUUAUUAUUAUUAACUUAAGUGCAUAAAUAAGGUAUGUUUAAGGAUUUAUAAGGCAAAUAUACCAUUAUUUAUUUAGUGUGGAUGAUUUGUAAACAUUUUAUUACAUUUCAUUCAUUAAAUUAAAAGUUAAAGUAAAAUAAAACAAAGUAAACUGCAUAUCAUCUUUUUGUUUUGAGCUUCCACCGAAAACCAACCUAAGAACCUUCAUUGAUGAAGCUUUUAGUUCGGUGAGACAAGGUCCUUGCAUGUAAGUGCAUUUUUAUUUUAUUUUUCAUUAUUUUUAUGUUUUUGAGAUCAUUGUAGCUUAAUCUAGUUAACAUAGAGACUAUUUCGUAAAACUGUUAAAGAUUUUGAAAAUUUUCAUUAAUGAAUUCAAGGUGUUCUUGAGAUUAAAUGAUGAGUUAGUAAACUUGGUUGUUGUAUAACUCUUUUGUAAAGGAAUUUUUUAUAGUUUUGAACCUAGGGAUUAAUAUGAAAUUAUGUAAAAAUUCAACAUGUAAAUUUGUGAAAUUUAUAAGUGUUAAAGGCUGGUUUGGGAUUAUGUUAAAUUCUAUUUUGGAGAAUUAGGGGUUAAAUGUGAAAUUUUAAUCAUUUCGAUUUUAAGGACUAAAUUGAACAAAGUGUAAAAGUUUAGGAAAAAAUUGUAAAAUGAAAUUUAUAGGUCAUGUGCUUAGAAAUGGGUUUGAUAGUGCAUUGGAAAUUGAUAAAGUGAAUUUGAUCAUUUUAUAGAUCAAGGAUUGAACUGUGUGGAGGAAAAUCGGUGAAAAGGAAAAUCAUAGAUUAGUCCCUACAAAUCUACUUAAUAGCUGAAUGUACUAGGUAAGUUCAUAGUAUAGAUAAAUAUAUAUUCGUUUAUAACUUGUGCUAUUAUGAUUUGAUUUAAUUGUAUUUGAUGUAAGUUUUGAUUAUAAAUUGAAAUUAUAAAUUGUUGUAAAUAAGUACAGGAUAGAAAGUGAAUAUUUGGUACUUGUUAAACAUUUGAGAAAUAUGAUUUUUAUGAUUUUGGAAUGAACUUAGUUGUUUGGAAACAUGAGUAUGAAUGUAUUUAUUAAAGUGCCUCUGAAUUAUUAAAGGUGGUAAAUUCUAUUAGAAUGUUUAUUUGAACAUAGUAAACGAUUAGGAUACGAUUGGCAUGCCAAUAGGAUUUAAACAGGUGCUUGUCUGGGUUUACACUUCGGCGCCUCUGUUAUCAUUUUGAUGCUCUCUGAUGUGAUAUGGUUACUUGAGUAUCUGAGUCAUGUUACUAUAGUUCAUCAGGCUAUGAAAAUUUGUGAUUAAUCCUAUAAUAACUUGAUUUUUCUAGUGUUUAUCCAUUAGAAGGUUUGUAUUAUUGUAUAAUCAUACAAGAAUCUUUUAUGUUGAUAUUGAUGCAAUAAAAUGUAUAUAUAUGAAGAUUUUUUAUUAAACCAUUGAUGAGCAUGAAGUAUAUAAUGAACUAUUUCAAUACUAAUUCUAUGUGUUCUCGUAAAUGAUUGUCAGGUUUAAUUAAUCUAGUUAUUUUAAUUUUCAAAUGUUUAAUUGAGGUAAGUUGAUUUGAAUUUUAGCUACAAACUUACUAAGCUACUUAAGCUUACUCGAUUUGUUUUUGUUUUCUAUAGUUAACGUUUUGCAGAACUGGUUGGAACUAUCAACUUCAAAGUUCACACUAUCAAACUCUUGUUUUGGUAGUUUUUGAUUUGUUAUCUUCGAUUUUGUGGCAUGUAUAUAGGUUUUUGAAGUUGAUGAAUUUAAAGCUCUAGUGGUUUUGUAAUGUGGUUAAAGUUGGUAUAUAAUGUUAAGUUUCAUGUUUCAUGAUCAACUUGUGAUGAAUAUGGUAAAACUAAUUAGGUAUAUCAUAUUGGUUCUAUUUUGUGAGAUGAUAAUUUGUGUCAUUUGAAUGGUAAACAUGACUUUAGUAUUUGGUAUCUAGAAAUGGUAACUUGUCAUUUGAUGUCUUCUUUGGAGAUUUGUUGUUAAAAUGACUAUUUUAUUCUGGUAAUCUUUUCGAACUUUGGUUAGGAUAUAUUAACAUUAGAAAGUUUUGUAUAAAUGGUUGAUUAUGGGAUAUGUUAUUUGGAAUUUAUUUGAUGAUUGAAUAAGGUUAAUUUUUUUUGUUAUUGUUUAUAUUGAAAUGUGGUGCCAAUGAGGACGUAUUGGUUAAACAUAUAGGUUGAAUGUGAAUUAGUAUAUUUUGGUACAUUUUUUAAUAAGUUAAUGUGGUGGUAAAUGCAUGGCUUGGUGUCUAAGAAAUUGUAGGUGAAUCGUCUUGUGUUUGAAGGUAUUUUGGGUACACAUGGUCUGGGACAUGAUUUGCCACACGGAUGUGUAUCCCACAUGGUUGCAUGACACAACCAUGUGGCCUCUUUGAUUUUUGCUGCAGGUUUGUUCACAUGGUCAAAGUUUGUUACACAGCUUAGGGGCACGACCGUGUGACCCAGGUAUACAUGGUCACAAUGAGUCACACAGCUUGACCAUACAGUCAUGUUCUUGAGCCACACAGGCUGAGCUCUAUCACAUGGCUUGACGACUUAGUCGUGUGACCACUGUUUUCACUUUUUAAUAAAAAUUUUGUAAAAGUUUUAUUUUAAUCUAGAAUUGAUCCUAGUUUGUUUUAAAUGUUCCAUAAGCUCGAAUUAGGUCCCGUUCUGAUUGAAUAGAAUUCUUAAAAAUAAGAUGACUUAUACUUAGUGUGUUUGAUUUUUUGGGAUAUAGUAAGUAUCUUUUAAUGAACUUAAGGAUUUUUAAAGCCAAGCAUUAGUUGUAUUGCCAUAACAUUAUUUAAAUAGGGGAUAGUAGGCGCUCCACUAUUUAGAAUUGCUAAAUAGGUCAACAUCACUUUGUUUGCUCAAUUGUGCUGUUGAUUAGAAAGGUGAGUCUAAGCAAGAGUGUGUUUCAUGGAAAAAGAAUUAGGGGCACCCCGCUUUAGCAAAAAGGAUUGAGUAGUUAAUGAGGUAGUUGUACGCUCCAUCCAUCUUUUUAGUCAAAAUUUUGAGCUUCAUGGGUGACUUUUGGUUUAAAUUGUGACAUGAUUGAUUACUCGACAAUUCGGUGUAUGCUCUAGUGUGAUUAUCGAGUCUAAGAAAUUUGUGACAUGUUAAAUCCCCUAAUAAUAAUAAUUCAAAAAAAAGCAUGAAUAUGAUUAAUAUAUUCUGAGUAGGCUUAAAGCAACUUAUGUUUAGGUACUAAAUGAACUAAGUAAAUUAAAAGAUAGUUGUUAUAGGCCAAAAGAAAGAAUACAUGAGUACUUAGGAGAGUCUAUGUUUGGGGAGAAAUUUCUAUUCUACCUUUGUUGAGCAACCCUUUGACACUCGAACGAGUUUUAGGAAAAAGGAGAUUGCUAAGAACUGAUGUACUUGGUUUUUUUUUUGAAUAGCCUAGCAAUAUGAGUUGGUUUGGUGCGUUGGCAAAUGUUGGCUUAUAUGCAUUCAUGCAUUCAUAUGUAUCUUGCUUGAGGACAAGUAAUAACUUAGGUUUGGGGUGUGAUAACUCUUGAAAAGGGUUAUAUUUCAUGUCUUCAAACCUAGUUAAUUGCUUAUACUUAAGUACAUCUAGUUGCAUUUUAGGACAUUUCAUUAGUAUUUUUAGCAUUGCAUUAGAACUUAGGCUGUGUUUAAAUAUUAGGUACUUUUAAUUACUUGUAGAAAGGUUGUGUUUUGUGGUACUGGUAGGUGCAGGAUGAGGAACAAGAAAUAAAUAAGUGAAGUUUUGUCGAGGCAAAAAGGUGGUCAUAUUGCUAACUAUAUGUUGUGGCAAUGCUGGGAAGGUGUCCAGACAGCAUUCAACGUAUAUCAGUUUCAGCCCAACUUUAAUUGUACCAGAUAAAUCUGCCUAGAAAAGAGGAGAAGAUAAAUCUUGGGUUGUUGGAAUUAUCCUAAAAAAGAGAAAAAAAAUUUAAAAAGAAAAGGAGGAAACCCUAGAGAGCGAACAGAAGGUAAGAUCCUUAGUCGAAAUAGAAGGUAGCGGCUGAAUAGAGAUAGGAAAAGGAAAAACGAAGGCAAUCCCUCUUAGCCACCUCAGGACACUACGCAGCUGGAGUGUGGAUUGGACAAGCGAAUGUUGUAUUUCCAACAUUCUUCCAUUAUUUCUAAUAUGUUCCUUUGAGAAUAACAGUGAUGAAAAUGAUGUUUGAGUUGAAUUUUACUUGCCAACCUAUAAGCUAGAUCUCAUAGGGUUGGGAUUCCUUUGAUAAAACUUUAACUGUCUUCAAUGGCUACAAUAUAAAUUUGAAUUAUUUUACUAUUUCAUUCAAUUGUUUUAUUCUUUAAUUUGAAUGUAAGCAAUCUUUAGACAUGUCGACUGUGCAGCAUACCCUUAAAUUAAUCUAAGUUCUGAAAAUGUUAGAUUAGUUAGACCGUGGUUGAAUGACAUGAGCAAGUACUCAAAAGAUACUUGCAGUAAACUCUAAAAAUAGAGUAGCGUUUGAUGCGAUCCGGCUCGGUUGAUUGAGUCGAUUCACUUGAUUGCCCGAUCGUCGACGAGAAGUUUUCAUUUUGAUGUCGUAUGCAAAUUGAGUUAUGGAGAUGUAUAAGCGGAAGCAGGCAAUUUGGGUUCAAAAAAUGGCUUGGAUUGAUUUUUUUAUAGGUUCGGUUUAAUAAAGAAAUAAUUUAUAAAGUGAUAUAUAAAAUGGAAUGGAAAUUGAACUCAAGCUUCAAGAAUGUUUCAAUACUAAAAAGUAUUGCCCCGAAUCUUAUAUUGCUUAAGGUGAAUUUUGAUGAAGGAUAGAAGAUGACCAUGACCCGUUACCUAUACGGAGGUAAGAACCAAAGGUAUAAUAAUAUGGUUGAACGCUACACCGGUUCGGUGAUAAGUUCAAUGGAGUUCGGAUUGACGCCACUAGCAAGCUAGAUAAGUCGCUUCGAGACUCGAACGAAAGAAGAGAUGAGGUAACCUCUCAAGAACAAAAGUUCUAUUAAGUUUAAUUGAUCAAAUUCUGUAGUGUUUUACAAUAAACAAGUCAACUAUUUAUAGGAAAAGACUAAGCUAGCCGAAUAGCCACAUACAUCCUUAGGAAUUAAGCAAAUGAAUUCAUCUAAUGGUCUUGCUAAAUUCGACUGAACAUGGACAGCUUCUAGAAUGAACAUUGAUUAUUGGAAAAUUUGGGAAGGUGCAUGGAAGAGCUAGGUUCGGCCAAUGAGCUUAAAUAAGCUCAUAUAAGAUGCAAUUUUGGCUGAAAAGUGACCAACAAUUAAUAGAAAAUUGGACAGCCAUUUGAAGUGUGAAUGCUCAGCUUUGAAGAGUCCUUGAGUAUGAACACCAUGAACCGAACAGCCAAAAUGAAUCCAGCAAUGUGAAAGAAAUAAAUGGCAGCUUUGGAGUAGGAAACAUCAUCUCCUUUGGCCGAAUAGUCACAAAGGAAAAGUCAAAAAUCAGCACACCAUUUUAAUUGCAUUCCAUGCAUGUAUUGCCAAAUACAUGGAAUCCAACGUGCAUGCAUCUUUUAAAUGCACUCCCACAUUCAGCCAACCUACAAAAGGAGAAAAUGAACUUAAAUUAAUUUGUAUUCAGCUGAAACAUAAUUAAAACAUAAUCUGGACAAUUUAAAUUCACAUAAUUAAAACAAAACACAAUUAAUUAAAUUAAGACCUAAUUAAUUCGGUUAGGACAAAACACAUUGAAAACAUGCAAUAAAACAUAUUUAUAAGCUGUAGGAAUUAAGAUGACUUAAUAACAUGUAAGAAAACACAAUUAACAUGCAUAAUUAAAAUCGUCUAGAUUUAAGACCAAUUAAACAACAAAAAUUAAUUGAGCUGUAUAUAACUAAAUUAACUAACUCAAUAAUUAUUUCGGCAACUAUAUUAUCGCAUAAAUGGAAUUAAGCUAGAUUUUAGCUGAUUCGAGCUCUUGGAGAUGGAAACGAGCUAAACGGAGCUCAACGAAAUGGAAUUGAACUAAUUCAGCUCGCAUGGGUUUGCAAGCAAUGCUUAAGGAGCUGGUCCAAAACUGUGCUCGGGGCGUGGUCGUAUCAUCCCCUCCCUCUUUAAAGCGAUUUGUCCCCAAAUCAGGCAAUUUGCUUGAAAAAAAUCUUCAAUAUUCUGAGAGCCACAAAUAGUUCGGAUUGAAAGAAGCUCAUUCGCAUGCCCUCCCUCUUUAGGAGGGUACCACCUCACAUCGUCACCUAUAAAAGAAUAAAACGAAUUAGUGACACGAUGAAGAUUAAACACAAAGGAACUUUCUGAGAUUUGAUUCACAACUUGAACAAAUAAACCAAUACCGGGGUCAAAAAUAGAAAUCGUUCUUACCUUUUUCUCCGAUGGAAACAAACCUAAAUCACGAGGCAUUUGAUAGCUAUGGUUUUGGAAGUCAACUUUCCAUGGUUCGAUUACCUUAGACAACGAUAUAGAAUGAUGUUCACCGGGGUCAAAGACAAAAUUUUCUCUUGCCAUUUCAAUUUGAUUUGUCAAUUUCAUGACAGACUUCAUAGAAAGAACACUAAGCAACUCAAAAUCAUUAUCAUGCAAAACAUGUUCAGAUCUUUUAAACCACAGUUGAGAACAACCUCCAGAAACAAAAUUUUGAUUUUGACUUAACAAACCAACAAGAUUCACAUGUCUCAUUUUCAAACUUAAAGACAAAGCAUCAUACAAACAAAGAUUGUUUACACAUUCAUUCAAACAAAAUUUACGAUGCUUGCUUUCUUUCAUGAAUGAUUCAUAAUAACAAACUCCAGGAUUAAACACAUGAUUUUGGCUACUCGAUCCAAAUGGUAAGAAGAGUCUUUUUAUCUCCAACAAUUUACACAAAUUAAACAACGAGGGUGUUAGCAUACUCAAAUUCAAACAAGCAAACCCUUUAAAUUUCAUUCGAAAAGAUUUACGAAAACAUGGAAAUUUCACACCACAAAUUGGAUAAUUCACAUGAUCAACACAACCAAACAGAUAAUAUGUCGACUUUUGAUCACACAAUUUCAGAUCUUGUUGGUGCUGAUUUAUUCGUUCUUCAUCAAAAAUCUUGUCGAUGCCAUACUCAUCAAUACAUUUCCAUUCCUUUUCAACAGGAUUAGUUAAAAUGAACAAUUUAUACGGACUUUCAUCUUGCGCAUCCAAAACAUGCAUUCCAUUGCAAGUUAAAGAUAAACAACCAAUACCAUCAAGAAAAUAAUAUUUUUCAAAAGCAAGAAUCUUCUUAUCGUCAGACAAAACAAAUGGAUCAUCAUCAAUCAAAGAAUGACAAGUAACCAUGUCAAAGUUCAGAUUCUUUCUAAAGACCAAAUCAUCAUCAAUGUGUCCAUCAACAAUCAAAUAAGGCAGAGGUGCUUUAAAAUUUUCAACAUUCAUACCUUGCUUACCUUUUGGCAUAGGCGAACUAGGAUCGUUGAGAACAUUACCUUUUUAAGCCAAAGUGAACCUUCUAUCCAUGGGAAGGUAUUGUAGUCAAAACUUGUCAAUCGAUUCUUUAAAAACCUGAGGAGAGACAACACGAGGAAAUCUCACAUGUUGGUUAAUGGAAACAUUCCUCACUUUUUCUCGUUCGUCUUUUUCUUUCAUUUCUUUUUCUAACUCGUUUUCUCUUCUUUCUUCAAUUUCUUUUUCGAUUUUCUCUUUUUCACAUCCUUUUUCAAUCUCAAUUUCUUUUUUCUUUUUCUCACUCUCACUCUCACUCUCACUCUCAUUUUCUUUUUCAAUUUCUUUUUUUUCUUUUUCACAUGCUAUUUCGAUUUCAUUACAAAAGAAGAAAUCAUCAAAAUCAGAAGCCUUUCGUUGAGAAUAAGAAAAGGUUUCUUCAUACAAAAGACGAUCAUCUCUUUAUGAUAGAUCAUCCGUGGUUGAGUACUUUGAAACACGUUCAUCUCUUCGUAAGCCAUCCGUCUCAGAUGAAUAAAUUGAUGCACUUGUAGAGACAUGUCUACCUUUUCGUUCAUCAUCUCAGAAGGACUCAAACUCGGAGUUUGCUUCUCUUGGUCUCGAACGCCUUGUUGAAUAGAAGUCUUGAUAAGAGUCUCUUGUCAAAUAUUCGUUGGAUGUUCGUCUUCUUGGCACUCUCAAUUCUGCCCUUUCACUUGAAUUAAGUUGUCCUUGUUGGGCUCUUUUCUCCACUCGAUCCAAUCGAUCAUGCAAUUUAUCACAUUUUGAUUUCACCAUUCUACACAUCUCUUGCAUCAAAUAUUGGAAUUCUGUUUUGGAAAAUUCUUCUCGAGACAUGAUUAUUCAUUAAAAGAAGAAAUGUUAAAAGAAUAAUAACAGAAAAUUAGAUACCUCACCACAAAAUCCUCACCAAUUCUCUCGAAAAGGAAAUAAUGAUUUUCACUCGCACUCGUGUUUACACUCAAUUUUUGGCUUUUGUUUUUGAUGUAACUCACUCUUGCCUUUUACCACUCGACCUCGUCUCACAAUUUCGUAAUUCGUCUUGGUAGACUUAAUUUGCUGCUUGAGGGUCGAUUUCAAAAAAAUAGGUAAUAAAGGGAAUAAUGAAAUGGUGUAAGGUAGGCUAAAACAAAACAAAUUUGGUUUAAGGGUGUGGCGUUGGGAAGGUAGAAUAAGUAGAAUUGAAAAACUUCUUGUGAUCGGUACUUACAAGGAUGAGAAAUAAAAUUUCGAUACUUCACUUUUUUUUAAUAUUCGCACUUUUUUAUACUCUCAAAUACAAUAAGAUGACUACAAAUGGAAUCAAAUACAACUUUUUUUAAUUCACAAACCUAAUUCGAAUUCUUUGAUCUUCGAUACUCCUCAUUUUGCAAGCUUUGAUACCAAAUGAUGCGAUCUGGCUCGGUUGAUUGAGUCGAUUCACUUGAUUGCUUGAUCGUCGAUGAGAAGUUUUCCUUUUGAUGUCAUAUGAAAAUUGAGUUAUUGAGAUGUAUAAGCGGAAGCAGGCAAUUUGGGUUCAAAAAAUGGCUUGGAUUGAUUUUUUUAUAGGUUCUUUUUAAUAAAGAAAUAAUUUAUAAUUUGAUAGAUAAAAUGGAAUGGAAAUUGAACUCAAGCUUCAAGAAUGUUUCAAUACUAAAAAGUAUUGCCCCGAAUCUUAUAUUGCUUAAGGUGAAUUUUGAUGAAGGAUAGGAGCGAACCUUGACCCGUUACCUAUAUGGAGGUAAGAACCAAAGGUAUAAUAAUAUGGUUGAACGCCACACCGGUUCGGUGAUAAGUUCAAUGGAGUUCGGAUUGACGCCACUAGCAAGCUAGAUAAGUCGCUUCGAGACUCGAACGAAAGAAGAGAUGAGGUAACCUCACAAGAACAAAAGUUCUAUUAAGUUUAAUUGAUCAAAUUCUGUAACCUUUUACAAUAAACAAGUCAACUAUUUAUAGGCAAAGACUAAGCUAGCAGAAUAGCCACAUAUAUCCUUAGGAAUUAAGUAAAUGAAUUCAUCUAAUGGUAUUGCUAAAUUCGGCUGAACAUGGACAACUUCUAGAAUAAACAUUGAAUAUUGGAAAAUUUGGAAAGGUGCAUGGAAGAGCUAGGUUCGGCCAAUGAGCUUAAAUAAGCUUAUAUAAGAUGCAAUUUUUAGCUGAAAAGUGACCAGCAAUUAAUAGAAAAUUGGACAGCCAUUUGAAGUGUGAAUGCUCAGCUUUGAAGAGUCAUUGAGUGUGAACACCAUGAACCGAACAGCCAAAAUGAAUCCAGCAAUGUGAAAGAAAUAAAUGGCAGCUUUGGAGUAAGAAACAUCAUCUCCUUUGGCCGAAUAGUCACAUAGGAAACUUCAAAAAUCAACACACCAUUUUAAUUACAUUCCAUGCAUGUAUUGCCAAAUACAUUGAAUCCAACGUCCAUGCAUCUUUUAAAUGCACUCCCACAUUCAGCCAACCUACAAAAGGAGCAAAUGAACUUAAAUUAAUUUGUAUUUAGCUGAAACAUAAUUAAAACAUAAUCUGGACAAUUUAAAUUCACAUAAUUAAAACAAAAUACAAUUAAUUAAAUUAAGACCUAAUUAAUUCGGUUAGGACAAGACAUAUUGAAAACAUGCAAUAAAACAUAUUUAUAAGCUGUAGGAAUUAAGAUGACUUAAUAACAUGUAAGAACACACAAUUAACAUGCAUAAUUAAAUUCGUCCAGAUUUAAGACCAAUUAAACAACAAAAAUUAAUUGAGCUGUAUAUAACUAAAUUAACUAACUCAAUAAUUAUUUCAGCAACUAUAUUAUCGCAUAAAUGGAAUUAAGCUAGAUUUGAGCUGAUUUGAGCUCUUGGAGCCGGAAACGAGCUAAACGGAGCUCAACGAAAUGGAAUUGAACUAAUUCAACUCGCAUGGGUUUGCAAGCAAUGCUUAGGGAGCUGGUCCAAAAGUGUGCCCGGGGCGUGGUCGUAUCAGCAUUCAUACAGAAGGAAACAGUGCAGGGUACCAUGUUAAAGGCCUAUAGACAUUGGCAAGGUAACUUGAGGUUUCUGCCUUCGAAAAGAAGCAGACUACUUUAGAACUCUUCUGAGCAGUAGGUUAAGUAUGAUUUUGCUGAGGCAUUGCUGACAGGAAAAGUAGAUUUUUAGUAAUCUCGACCUUCCCACUCAACAUCACAUAACCCUUAUCCUUUGUCGUAGUAUCUUUGCCAUCGCAUCCUUAAUUGUUUAUUUUUCAGUUACAUAUUAUUCAUAUAAUCAUUUUCAUAAUUGACAUUACAUUCCUACUCUCGUUUUGCCAUAGCAUUUUCAAGUAUUCAUUAAUUUCACAUAUUGCAUACAUCAUUAUUCCUUUUAAUUGCCACUGUAUACUUACCAUGGCUUUACCAUAGCAUUAAUUGCAUUUUAUUAUAAUAACUAGACCACUUUAGUGCCUCAAUCCGGUACUCGUGGGAACGAUACUCACUCAUCACUUAAUUAUUUGAACCGAUGUGUAUACUUGCAGAAUUCGCAUAUUAUAUUCACACGUGACAAGAGUCCCAGUAGGAGUGUAACUCUUCCACUGCUCAACCACUGAUGACCAACCGCCACCGGCCAACGAGAUGCCAUCGUCACAGCCACCAACAUCGCCGUGUCUAGUGAUGCAGGUCUGACACCCUUACGGCACCCCGAGCCAGUUCAAAUAUUGUUGGUUCGAUCUGGGUCAAUGACGACCUGACUGGUUUGGUUUAACCAUCAGUUGGACCGUCGACCCGGUUUUACAUACAGGGCUCGGUUCGACUAGUUUUUGGGUCAUGGUUUUAGUUUUGGGCUAUCCAGCCUAAUUUACGACCUCAAGUCCAAUUUUCAAGUUCAAUUACUCAUUGGGCCAAUUGUUUGACUUGAAAAUUAAUUCCCAGAAAUAUCUUAUUAAUUUUAAUUGAUUUUGUUAAUUUAAUUUUACUCGAUAAAAAUUAAUUUUUCCAAAAAUCACUUAGAUUUUCCAAAUUAACUUUUCAAAAAUAUAAUCAAAUUCUCUAGUUGAACAAUUCUUACGAUCACUUAAUUUAAUUCCACAUCAAAUAAAUUGACUCAAUUAAAUUAUUCCCAAAGUUGUAGAAUUUUCUUCUAAUUUAAAUGCAGUCCGAUCAAGCUUUUGUUGAGCUAGCAGAGGGACCAAUCAGACAUAAACAAUUAGACUCUAUUGAUUGCAAUUAUUUCCAGAAGCAUUAUUUUGAUAAUUCGCAAUUACUUAAUCAUGGAGUUAGUCCACAAGAAGUACCAUGAUUGAAAAAUCCUUAUUGUAUACUCUUUACGAAAGCAAUUCAUCUAAUUGCUUUGUCCAAUGGCCUCGUCAUGUGUGUGUUACUCUCAUAUGAUAUCUUGGAUCCCUUUGAGUUAAAUCCAUCCACUCAAUACAAUCAUAUUUUAUCUCAUUGUCACCAUUGUGUUUUCUUAAUGAUUAAUAUGAUCACUGUCAAUAAAUGACUAUGGUAAAUUGCUCAUUCAAGAACAAGCAACCUGUGGUCACGUUCCAUAUUUAUCAAUCCACACAAUGCCAAUGAGAGGAUAUAAUUAACUCUUUAAUUGAGCUAUGAAUUUCAUUAUUGCUAGUAAAGCCAUGCUAUACACAAGUCAUGUACUCAACAUACUGGCUAUGGGCUCGAUCAUCUUUAGAGCAUAAGCCUCCACUUAUAUCAAAGCAAAUGAGUUGCAUACGCAUGGUCAGUAACUACUCAAGAUUUAGGUAAAUCACACCAUGAACGUCACAAGUGAAUUAAUUCACAAACGGAUUCAAAAUUAAUUCAUCUUGGGUCCAGUCCAAUGUAUCAUUCUACUAAUGAAUACAUUUAUUUCUCUACUCGUGGAGUCAACUGCUCCGAUAGUCAAGACUAGCCAUCUCCUCAAUUGGAAUUAUAGACGACAUAAUAAUCCUUCUUAGUAUUUGAAUCAAAUUCUCACUUUGAUUCUUUUACGAGAUUAUGGACUCAUUUAGAUUAUCUACUGAAGUAAGUUGUCUUUUUCGCAAUGUAAACGUUCUUACAAUGCCACUUAUCUUCAGUUUGAACUUUAGAUAAUCAAUGAGCUAAUAUUUGCUCGUCAUAAUUUCGCUAUGCACUUAAAAUAUAAAAGAGAGAAAAUACAAAAAAUAUAAUAGUGAAAUGUGAAAUUAAAUUUAUUUGUUUAUUCAUCGUUCAAUUAAAUAGAAAAUAAUUACAUGUUUACUACAAUAUGAGCACAUUUCCCAACAAAAAUAUCACACCAAAAAUGUAAUAAAUUAAAUUAGCGAUGCCCACAAGUAUACAGGUCAAAUUGUAAUAUAGUAUAUGUGUACAACGGAACACAAGAAGUAUUCUGAGGAUCGUACCCAAGGGAGGAUGGAAUAAAUCUAUUGAAAACCUCUUUACAAUAAUCAGUCUAAAUAGUAGUAAUUAAAUCUUAUAUUACGAUAGAUCAUAAAAUUGAUGAAUAAUGGAAAUUAAAUAACUAAAAUUAAUAAACAAGAAAAUAGACGAAUGACUAAAUCGACAAAACCAGUUAAGAACAUUAAUUCAUUCCAGGUGUUGUCCAAGCCAGAUAAGUUUUUUUUCUUUUGAUGAUCAUGCAUUUCAUUUCAUUUUACCGUGACGUUUGUCUGUCCAUAGCUAUAUUUGUGUUGCAUGCACAUGCAUUGAGGACAAUGCAUCCCUUGGGUUUGGGGGUGUAUUGUGCAUUCUGGUUGCACUUUAUAUAAUAUAGAUGUUUUGCCACUACAUUUUAACCACUGAAGUAUUAUUUUUUCUAUAAGAAGGACAAUGUAUACUUAUGAUGUUCGAUGAUGAGUUUACAUUUUUCGAUAUACCUAGAACAUGUGACAGUCGAUUGGGUGAAUUUAGCUUAGGUUAAGAUGCUUGAAAUUAAAGAUCAAGAUCCAGUAUUUAAUCCUGGAAAAGAAAAAAUUUUCGAAUUGUCCCUGAUAUUGUCAUCUUUGUUGUUUAGCCAUGGUAAGUUUAUAUGGUUUAAUUUAGUAUAAUUUAUAAUACUAUAUCGACUUGCGAUUUAUGAUUUGUUGAAUAUAUAUAAUUAAACUGUCUCAAAUUGAUUCAAAGUGAGAAAUGUAAUCGAACUGUAAAGUAUUAUGUGAUUUUGUGUAUCGAGCCCGAAUAAACAUAGGAUAGGAUAUAAUUGGCAUGCCAAUAGGUUAUUUUGCAUGCUGUAUGGGAUUGACUUGUGAUAAGUGUAACACCUUAUACUCGGUCCGAGCUAUAAGAUAUUACAACUAUAUAACAUCAUUCACAAUUUAAUAAAAAAUAACCAAAUAAUUAAUUUAUAAUCAUUUCCAAGAAAGGCUAGUGUGUGCCAGGGUACAUGGCGAGGCAAAUAUAUGAGUUAAAAGUAAGUAUAGAGAGUCCACUAAAGUAAGGAAGAUCUGGGUGAAUUCUAAGUUAAGUAUUGGGCGUAGCCUACCCUGCUCGAAGAAAGUGAUAAGACUAGUAAGUAUGGAAAAAGAUAUUAAAUUUGAUAAUAAGGUAAGAUUUAAGAAAGAAUAUAGAAAGUAAAAAUAUGUUAAGUAUAGUAUGCUCAAAAGAGAGAAAAUGGUUUUUAAGAAAGAAAUAUGGUAGCCUCAGUAUUGUACCCGCCAAAGAAGGAAGAAAUGUCAAGAAGUACCCAAAAGAUGUGCAUAAUAACAUACGCAACAUUGAAUGAAUGAAAAAGGUAUUCUAAGGUUUAGCUCAUUAAGUUCUUAUGAAUUUACAAAAUUUGUUUCUAUUUUCAUGUUUGUAAAGGAAUAUCCGUCGAGAGACGAUACCAAGGUUACGCCAAGGGAGCGGCAUGUUGGGCUGUUAUGCAUGUAAAGGAAAGCAAAUUGUGUCUUUGAGUCUGCACAUAAGUUUAUUAACUAGCAAUCAAAUAUGUACUUAGCAGCAUAAGAGAUAGAAUAGAAGUUGAUAGAAUUUUAUUAUUCUGAAAUGUAAAUGAAAUCAUACAAUGUACGCCAUAAGAGGCUCUAUUACACUCAUAGAUAGAUGUUUACAUCAAUGAAUAAGAAAGAAGAGUUUUAAGUUACAUCUGUAUAAGGCGUAACAACCAAAAUUUGGAUCUGAUAGAUUGAGUCAGGUCGAGACCAUUACAUUUCUAGACAAUCAACCCAAAUAGGACAGAUGCUUACGUUGGUUGUUACAAACUUGGUUCAGAACAGAGACUUCGCAACAAAAUAUUUGAUAAGAGAAUUUUCAUGGAAUAAGGGUUGUAUUCAUAGACAAUAAGUAUCUUAGUACUUAACUUAGGAACCCUAGUUGGUUUAGAAGAAGGUUACGUGCACGAAAAGUAUCCUAGACACAAUAUCUUUAUUUCUUAAUUUAAGUCUGACUAGACUUUUGACUAGCGAACCCCCAGUUUGCAAUUCAACUGGCAAACCCCAAUUCGCCUACCAACUUAACUUACAAUGAAUCUAGCGAACCCCUUACCACAUCUUUUGGGAUAUACCAGUUCAUCAAAACGAUGGAAAACUUCUUACUAAUCCUUCUGACAAAAAGUAGCUCACCAAAACACUAGAGAACCCCUUACUAAUAUCCCUUUUGGUGAACCCCAAUUAGCCAAAACCCUGGCAAACCCUUACUUGUAACACCAAAAAUUUCAAUCUCGAUCUCAGGGUGUUACAAGGACAACCCCUUAGCAAGCUUAGUUUCAUGAGAGGAGAUGUAACACCAUUAACCCGUAUCUGUCGUCGGAACAUGGUUAUGGAGCAUUACCAAAAUUUAUAGAUUAGAUAAACAAAUAAUUUAUGCCUUAUAGCAUUCAUAUUAGAAAUCAAUCAUAAUGUCCCUUAUAUGAUCCCUCAAGGCCCAAAAUAUACAUUAGAAUCAAGUCAGGACAAAACUAGGUACUCAGAGAAUUUUUCGCAAAAUCUCAAAAUUUUUCUCAACCCAUGUAACUCUCUGACUUGGGUCACACAGCCAAGUCACACGCCCGUGUGCCAGGCCGUGUGAAAAUACCUAGGCAUUCUGUUUUGAAAUUUUAAAGAUGCAGAGGACACACAGCCAGGUCACACGCCUAUGUGCUAGGCCGUAUGUCAAACACGGAUAAGACACACACCCAUGUCUUUGCCCGUGUGAACUAAAAUAGGCUAUUUUCCAAGCCACAUUUCUCACCCAACUUGUCUUUCACCUACACCAACACUUAAACACAUUUACAAACCAUAUCAAAGUAUUUAAAACAAGUCCAAAUCAUGUCUUAAACAUGACAUAAUAUCACAUACAACCAAUAUACCCUUAGGUACCUCAUAUGACAAUUUAUUAUCAUGUUAAUCUAUCAUUUAUACUUACUUAUUUACCAAAUGCAUAUAUGUAUGAUCACAUUUAUUCUUCAAGCAUGAUAGAUCCACUUAUAAAUAUGUCAAAAUAUUUCAAACACAAGUCAUUCUAAUGGCUAGUUUCAUUCAAAACAUUUACAUAUCAAUAUUAGCCAAUUAACCUAUACAUGUCAUUAUAACCAUCAUUAAUUUAUCAUAUAUACCGAAAUAGGCCAAUGGAUAGUGUGAGUGAUCUCUGCCAAGCUUCUAAUCUAACGAGUUUUCGAAUUACUAUAGAAUAGGGGAAAAUAAAAACAAAGUAAGCAUGAAAUGCUUAGUAAGUUCGUACAACAUGGUAAUUAACUUACCAUUUAUUUAUGUUCAAGAUAAACAUGCAAGACACAGUCAACCAAUUUGCUCAUAAGCCCUAACACAUAUCCUUAUCACCCUUACUAGUCAUAUAAUUCAUUCAAAUAUCAAGAAACAUGUACGGGCUCGACAAUAACUAAAUUUCCAUAUACAUAUACUUUCCACAUCAUGAAUUCAUAUAACAUAUACAAAUCAUAUCCAUGUAUUUAAUUCGUCUCAAGUUCAGAUUAUUUCAUAUCAGGAUUUUGCCCAUUAAAUCAAUUAAAAUAUCGAUGGAAACACGAAAAGUACAUUUGUACUCAAGAUGUACAAAUCUAUAAUCAUAGUUAAACAUAUUCAUCAAACAAAUUCCAUGUUCAUAUAUCAUCAUCUCAUACUUACAUAUAUCAUGUAUCAUCAUUUUCAUGUAUUUCGGCAGAUACGUGUAAUAAUUCAUUUCGAUCUCAUAUUUUCUCGUGUAAGGAUUUUACCCGUUGAAUUUAUUUGAAAUAUCGAUGGAUACACAUAUAGUUCACUCGAGGUGUACAAUUUAUAGUCCAUCAAUUCAUAUUCGGGGAUGCUAAUUAAAGUACAUGAUCAGGAAAUCCUCUCUCGAGCCAUAUAACAGGAAACUCGUAAAGAGCCAUUAAUCAAGAAGCUUAUAUGGGCUAUAUAACGGGAAGCUCAUAAGAGCCUAAAUCAGGAAGUUCACAAAGAGCCUUUAACGGGAAGCUCCGAAGAGCCAUUAAUCAGAGUUCCAGAUAGCCAUAUAUCGGGAAGUUCAAGCGAGCCAUAUAUUAGGAAGUUCAAGCGAGCCAAAUCGAGAAGCUCUAGAUAGCCAUAUAACAGGACGCUCACACAGAGCUGCGGUAUGUCCACAACACAUGCAGGACCACUACUGAUCAUAUAAUAGAACGCUCACAAAGAGCUGCGGUAUGUCAUCAAACAAAUAGUGUCGUCAUAUUUUCAGUACAAAUGCAAUAACCGUCAAUUCUAAAUCAUGUAUCGAGUAAUUCUUUUCAUGUGUUUUUUAACUAUCUGGAAGCAUAGGCUAUUACUUUGCCUUCCUACUUCAAAAACACAGCCUAAACCAUUCAAUGAUGCAUCCUUGUAAAUUAUAAAUUCCUUACCCAAUUCAGGCUGAACUAGAACUAAUGCUUUGGUCCACAGAGUUUCAAACCGAUCAAAACUUUGUUGACAUUUAUCAAAAUAUUCAAAUCUUACUUCUUUCUAUAAUAAUCGUGUCAUCGGUAUAGCUAUCAUAGAAAACCCUUUCACGAAAAUUAAAAAGGGAUCAUAAAUUAAGCUAUUUCAAUUAUUAACAUUGAAGCUUUUAAUUAUUCCAAAGCCACAACUAUCAGAUAGAUUAAAACCAUAGUGCUAUAAUUGGACCGACAUUUCAACAAUAUAGAUGGAACAAUACCUCAACAUCAAUAGUACUCUUUAAAAUAGAAGAGGAAAACCGAAAGUAGUCCCAAUAACAACCAAUGCCAUAAUACAAUUUCUAUAAUUUGAGAUCCAUAUCACCGAGCUCCUAUGAUCGAGUUAAGAUUUAUAACAAUAAUAAAUGUAAUUAACUCCGGCCAAUGAAUAUCUUUCACAGAUAAACCAUGUUUAAUAUAUAAGAUUAGACCAUAAAAAUGACAAGAAAAUCGAGAUAAUGAAAUCCAAAAUGUGAAGUUAUACUGAAUUUUCGAGAAUAAAAACACAUUGAAUGAUAAAGAGAUUGAUGAUAUCUCAGAGAAAGUCCAGAAGAGUAAUAUCGCACAUACGCAGUAGAAACAGCUGUGAUAGAGACAAUAUAAAUUGCAUAUUUGCAAUUUAGAGCUUUAACCAGUAGAAGUAGAAAAUAGUAUCAUAUGAAUCUUAUCAUCAAGUUUUCUAUCAAACGUAAUUGAUUAGAAAACCAAAGAAAGAUGGAGCAAUAUCGCUCAUGAAUCAAACAGACUUACAAUAAUUCCUUCUAAUAUUAUAAUUAGCUAACCUUUCUAUAUGAUAAGAAUCACAUUUGAAAAUGAACAGUUACAUAUAUCUCUGAGCAUCAAAGAAUAUAUAGAAUACCCAGAGGAGAUCACUGUAAAAUACCCGAUUAUAACAACUGCAUUCAAAUAUCUUUGCAAUUUCAUCACUAUUCCAUUGACUACUAAAGUCAUCAAUAAUCUCACAUUAUUUAGUUCACUAAAGAAUCUAAUUCAGAAGAAAUUUCUGGUUAAUCCAUUUUAUAGAUACCAUAUAUGAAUAAGUCAAUUACUCAUGAAUAACUUAUUCCUUAAUAGUGUCAUUGCGUAUCCCGAAUAAAUCUUCAAAAUAAUCUUAUAUCUCUUUUAAAACUAUCUUUACUUACUAACCCAUUCUCUGCUUUGUUAAUCAUUCAACCACUGAACUCUUCAGUUUCGUACUUGUGAACUUAAUCAAUACAAAUCUUGUGCAUUUCAUUGUAUAAGACUAUACUAGUGAGGGGGUGGAGGUCGUAAAGCCUCAAAAUUUAACUUUCAUAUGUACACGCUAACAAAAGCCGUAAGCGUGUUGUGUUUGAACUGGGAGAUUGGGUUUGGGUGCACAUGCGCAAGGAAAGAUUUCUUGCGCAAAGACGAUCUAAACUCCUUUCGAGAGGAGAUGGACCAUUCCAAGUCCUUGAACGAAUUAACGAUAAUUCUUAUAAAUUGGACUUGUCAGGUGAAUAUAAUGUUAGUGCGAGCUUUAAUAUUUUCAAUUUGUCUCCGUUUGAUGCAGAAAGCGAUUUGAGGACAAAUCGUUCUGAAGAUGAGGGGAAUGAUGUGAGCUUACUUACGAACCAAGAGGAGCUCGAACAAGAGGCCAUAAAGUUGCCAAUUGGUCCGAUAACGCGAGCUCGAGCCAAGCAAUUUAAGGGGGCUAUUUUAGCAAUGUUGGAACGAGCAUGGGAAAGUGAACGCAAGGAGCUCAAAAAUGAAUUCAACAUGUUCAAUUUUUAGGAAGCUGAAUUUCGUUCCAGCUAAUAAAUUUGCUGCUGGAAUUUUUAGACCAUUUAAAUUAAAGCAUCUAAAUAAGUUUUUACUACAGCUUAUAAAUUUGUCUUUAAUUAAUAUAAGUGUUUAAUUUGUCUUAUUUUAGUUAAAUUAAAUAUGUCUUGAUUUCAUUUAGUUUGUCUAAAUUAAUACAUGUAUUAAAUCUGUCCAGCCGAAUUUAUGUGUCAUGUUUUAUUAAUAUUUAAGUUGUCACAAUGUUAAUAAGGAUGUUCACAUUAUGUUUUUAAUGUAGUUCAGCUGAAUUUGUUUGAAUUAAUUAAGUUCAUUUGUUUUAAUUCAGGUGCAGCCGAAUUUGGAGAUUCAUUGACUAGAUGCAUGCAUGUAGAUUCAAUGAAUUUGAAGAUGCAUGUGCAACUGGUAUAAUGCAUUGAAGCUGAUUAAUUUUGGCUCUUUUCAAGGAAACUAUUCGGCCAAGAGUCAGCAGCCAAUUCAACACUCCAAGACAUGGCUGAUUCUCUUUUCAAUGAGGCAUAAAGAUGUUCACACCAUGUUCAGCCAUGUUCACACCAUAUGGCUCUUCAAAACCGUCCAUUCACACUUCCAAAUGGUUGUUCAAGUUGCUAUUUAAUGUUGGUAAUUUUUCAGCAAGAGUUGUUUCAUGAAUUACCUCAUUAAACUCCAUUAGCUGAAUGUAGCUGCUGCUAAUUUCCAAAGUUCAUUGGAAGCUAUUCUUUGGUCUCUAUUAAGCCGAACCUUGAUACAAGCUCAUGCAUGAAUUUUAGCUAAAGAUUAGUUCAAUGUUUUGCUUAGCUUUUUAAGCUUUGAAUUGUCCAUUCGGUUACCAGCACUUAAGCUAUAAAUAGUUGCUGAUUUUCUUGUAAAAGGAUUUUUUUGGCCAAAUUUUUGAAUGAACUAUAUUUUUGGUGAUUUAAUUCACUCUUCUUAUUCUCCAAAGCUCAAUUGACUUAUCUUCACAAGUGACGUCAAUCUGACUUUGUUUUUGAACUUAUCACCCGUUGGUGUGGCCUUCUUCAUACCGAAGGUUCCUAUUUCACUAAAUAGUGGGUCUCGGUUUUAUCCUUAAUUCUUUCUUUUCUUUGAAAUGAUUUAAGCCCGGGUCUUUAUUUGCUAAUAAGGGUUCAUUCUUGUUUCAUUGGAAACCAGCAAAUAUCAUAUCGUUAAACACCUUUGUUUCCUAAGUCAUUCCACCUUCAAAACUCAAAGACUGAAUUUGUAUUAAACCGACACUACCUAAUUUCGAUCGAAAAUUAUUAUAACUCAUUACAUCUUCCGAAACGAGCUCGUAUCAACAUUUAUCGUCAACUUAUUCAUUACAAACUUUUAUUCAUACCUCUAUGAAUUCCGUUUCAUCAUAAGCAACAUAUUUACUCAAACACUUGGGUAUCACUUUCAACAUUAUCGGAAUUAGCUCGGUUGGAAGCAUCUCUAUCUAUUAGUAAAACAAUUCUCAUCAGAGUCGGGAGAUAUCACACUAUCACAAGUUAUACAAUGGCAUGUAUUUCUAUACUUCACAUAUACUACGUUCAGUUUGAGAACUGACUAAAUCGUAGCUCUGAUACCAAUAAAUGUAAUAUCCCUAACCCGUAUCUGUCGUUAAAUAGGGUUACGGAGCAUUACCAAAAUUUACAGAUCAGAUAAACAGAUAAUUCAUGCCUUAUAGCAUUCAUAUUAGAAAUCAAUCAUAAUGUCCCUUAUAUGAGCCCUAGAGGCCAAAAAUAUAAAUUAGAAUCAGGUCGAGACUAUACUGGGUACUCAGAGAAUUUUUCACGAAAUCUUAAAAUUUUUCCUAGGUGCAAGGGUCAUAUGCCCGUGUGGUCAAGUCGUGUGAAGGGACAUGUCCGUGUCUCAAGCCGUGUAACUCUCUGACUUGGGUCACACGACCAAGUCACACGCCCGUGUGCUAGGCCGUGUGAAAAUACCUAGGCAUUCUGUUUUGAAAUUUUAAAGAUGCAGGGGGCACACGGCCAGAUCACACGCCUAUGUGCUAGGCCGUGUGUCACACACGGAUAAGACACACACCCGUGUCUUUGCCCGUGUGAACGAAAAUAGGCUAUUUUCCAAGCCACAUUUUUCACCCAACUUGUCUUCCACUUACACCAACACUUAAAAACAUUCACAAACCAUAUCAAAGUAUUUAAAACAAGUCCAAAUCAUGUCUAAAACAUGACAUAAUAUCACAUACAACCAAUAUACCCUUAGGUACCUCAUAUGACAAUUUAUUAUCAUGUUAAUCUAUCAUUCAUACUUACCUAUUUACCAAAUGCAUAUAUGUAUGAUCACAUUUAUUAUUCAAACAUGAAAUAUCCACUUAUAAAUAUAUCAAAAUAUUUUAAACACAAGUCAUUCUAAUGGCUAGUUUCAUUCAAAACAUUUACAUAUCAAUAUUAGCCAAUUAACCUAUACAUGCCAUUAUAACCAUAAUUGAUUUACCAUAUAUACCGAAAUGGGCCGAUGGAUAGUGUGAGUGAUCUCCGCCAAGCUUCUAAACUAAUGAGCUUCUGAAUUACUAUAGGAUAGGGGAAAAUAAAAACAAAGUAAGCUUGAAAUGCUUAGUAAGUUCGUAUAACAUGGUAAUUAAUUUACCAUUUAUUUAUGUUUAAGAUAAACAUGCAAGACACAAUCAACCAAUUUGGUCAUAAGCCCUAACACAUAUCCUCAUCACCCUUGUUAGUCAUAUAAUUUAUUCAAAUAUCAAGAAACAUGUAUGGGCUCAACAAUAACUAAAUUUCCAUAUACAUAUACUUUUCACAUCUUGAAUUCAUUUAACAUAUACAAAUCAUAUCCAUGUAUUUCAAGUGCAUUUUCAUAAUAAUUCGUCUCAAGUUCAAAUUAUUUCAUAUAAGGAUUUUUCCCAUUAAAUCAAUUAAAAUAUCGAUGGAAACACGAAAAGUACAUUUGUACUCGAGAUGUACAAAUCUAUAAUCAUAGUUAAACAUAUUCAUCAAACAAAUUCCAUGUUCAUAUAUCAUCAUCUCAUACUUCCAUAUAUCAUGUAUCAUCAUUUUCAUGUAUUUCGGUAUAUACGUAUAAUAAUUCAAUUCGGUCUCAUAUUUUCUCAUGUAAGGAUUUUACCCGUUGAAUUUAUUCGAAAUAUCGAUGGAUACACAUGUAGUUCACUCGAGGUGUACAAUUUAUAAUUCAUCAAUUCAUAUUCGGGGAUGCUAAUUAAAGCACAUGAUCAGGAAAUCCUCUCUCGAGCCAUAUAAUAGGAAACUCACAAAGAGUCAUUAAUCAAGAAGCUUAUCCGGGCUAUAUAACGGGAAGCUCAUAACAGCCUAAAUUAGGAAGUUCACAAAGAGCCUUUAACGGGAAGCUCCGAAGAGCCAUUAAUCAGAAGUUCCAGAUAGCCAUAUAUCGGGAAGUUCAAGCGAGCCAUAUAUUGGGAAGUUCAAGCGAGCCAUAUCAAGAAGCUCUAGAGAGUCAUAUGACAGGACGCUUACACAGAGCUAUGGUAUGUCCACAACACAUGCAGGAUCACUAUCGAUUAUAUAACAGGACGCUCACAAAGAGCUGCGGUAUGUCCGUAACAUAUGCCUGAUCAAUACCGAUCAAAAUGCUCGCAAGAACCAUGUAAUGAGAGGAUCGAGAGGGCUUAUAAUGGGAUGCUCGUAAGAGCUAUGGUGUGUCCACAACAUAUGCAGGACCACAACCAAUACGAGAAUCCUGUAUCCAUCGAAUUUCAUUUAUUCAAACGAGACUUAAUACUUUUCAGGCAUUACCGGAUAUGUGACCGAUCUUCAUACAUGUCAAUUUUACAACAUACAUACAUAAAAUUCAAUUUAAACAUACAAAUAUACACAAUUUAGUUGCACGAACUUACCUUAACAAAUAUUUGUGUAUGUAAAAUCUACUAAUCUGACACUUUCUCUUUUCCUCGUUCUAACUCCGAAUUAGGUCUAUCCGAAUCUAAUCAAGCAAAAUAAGUUGACUUGAGCUUAGGUUUCCAUGGCUAAGGUUUCCGUACUUUUAAUUUGGGAAAGAUGAUAAAAAUGAUUAUAUUUUCAUUAUUUUAUCAUUUAUCAUCUUUUAUUAUUUUACUUUCCAAUUUAGUCCUUUUCUUUAUUUUAUUUUCCAUGGAUGAAUCAUCAUCCUUAAUCACUAAGAAUUUUUAAUGGUCUAUUUACCAUAUAAGGACCUCCAAUUUAAAGUUCUAUAGCUAUUUAAUCUCUUUAGCUUUUAGAACUCAACUUUUACACUUUGUGCAAUUUGGUCUUUUAUCAAAUUAAACAUGUAAUCAGUAAAAUUUAUUUACGAAAUUUUCAUAUGACAUUAUUAUCGUACUGUAGACCAUAAAAUAAUAUAUAAAAAAUUUCUUUUUGAACUUAGAUUUGUGGUUCUGAAACCACUUUUUUUAUUUUACCGAAAACGGGUUGUUACAAGAGAACUAUGUUUAUAUUAGAGAAGAGAGAAAAUAGAAAUUAGACUUCGAUAUAAGAGACCAAGGUAAGGAUGAUAAGGUUUCUUUAUUAAUUUCAUGCUUAUCUCAUUCAAUGUGUACAAAAAUAAUAUUUGAUUAUUAUAUUAAUACUGAAUAUGUAUAUUUUUAUAUAAGAAGAGGGGUGAAUCUCAAGUUGGUGAAAAAGGGAAUGAGAUGGCUAAGGAGUGAAAGAAAUAAGAAUGAAGUUUAUUCAAACUUUAUUUUGUAAGUACAUCAAGAAUUGUUACUUAACUAAUAAAUAAGUGUAAAACUAUGUUAGAUUAGUUAUAUUAAUAUUUAUAUAUGAAUAUGUUAAUAUUUAAUAUGAAAUUGAUUAGUGAGUGUGUUUAUAUCAAUUUAAUUUCAAUUACAAAGUGAUAGAUGUAGUUUAUUAAAAGUAUGGAAAAAAGGACUAAUUUGUAAAAUGUGUAAAAUUAACAUGUAAAUUAAAUAUUAUGUUUGAGUGUAUAAAUUAAGUGAUAUAUGGAAGUGAAUUACAUAUAAAGUGAUAUUGAAGUCUUAUAAAAGGGGUUAUUGAAUUUCAUGAUGAUGGGGACUAGACUGUAAAGAACGUAAAAGUUUAUAAGUGAUUAAUUGAAAUGUAAAAGUGAAUCUAAUAAUGUUAUAAUUUCCAAAGUAGACAAGAUGUGAACUAGUAGGAGAUAGAUGGCAUGCCAUUAGUAAACUUUCAGUGCAUAGUGAAAGUGGCACUCUGGUGCAACUCAGUGAUUAUGCACUUCUGUGCAAAGUGAUAGUGGCUCUUUGGAGCAUUUCAAUGAUUCAACACUUCUUUGCAUUAUCGUGUAAGAAAUUUAGUGCUAAUAAUUUAUUGAUUUUUCACAUAUCUUGCAUGUUCUAUUGAGUCUACUAUGGGCUGGCAUAAAGUGGUAAGUGAAAAUAAAAGUGAAAUGGGAAAUGAAUUAACAGUGAAAAAGUAAAUGGUUUUUAAUGGAAUUAUUUGAAAACUUUAGUGUUAAAUGUUUUUUUAUAUCAAAUUUUUAUUUAAAUGUUCUAUAUUGAUUAAUGCAAAGGUAAAUUUAAUUCUUGAAGAACUUACUAAGCUUUCACAAGCUUAACACAUUAUUUAUCAAUACGUAGGUAAAUAUUCGACUUGAAGCUUUAAAGUGAAAUUAGAACCUCAACUCGUCUCAUCACAUAUCAAGGCUUGGAAGAGUAUGGAUUCAAUCCUUUGGUAUUAGUUUAUGGCAUGUACAUAAGUUUAAUUAAAGUAUAUGUUUAAGAUUUCUAGUGAAAAUACUUGGUGAAUCUUAAGUACUUUGUUAGCUCUAUGAACUUAGUUGAGACUUGUUUGAAGUAUAUGUUGUAUUAAAUGAUGUUUUGAUGGUGUUCUAUGCUUUAAAUUGGUUAAUUGAUGUAUGAGAAUGAAUAAAAUUGAUUGUGGCAUAAGAGUGUUUGGGCAAGUAUAAGGCUCCCUUACACUUAGGGUGCAAUACCCUAGUGACAAGUAUUGGUACCUAAGAGUUAGAAUGAUAAAAUCUACAAUGUUUUAGCCUAGGUAUUGAUACCUAGCACAGAGGUACCAAUACCUCUACUUCAAACCACUCAGUUUGAUUAGUUUUUCUCCGGAAAGGCUUUAAAUGUACUUCGUUUGCAACCAAACUUUGAAGAUAGGUUAGAAAUGACUAGAACCACUCCAAACGAGCUUAAUUUGGUUAAAAUGAAUGGAAUUAGAUGAUGUUCAAGUUUAGUGUUUGUAGUGCCCAAAUGUGACAUUUGUUGCUAGGGUUGUCGGGUUAUCCCAGGUAAUGGGUAUUACAAAUUGUUGGAAAAAUCAAUUUGGAAAACUUGUUUUCACAACAUAAUUUUAAUUUUUUUUCUAAAACCUGAGCCAUUUUGUGUUAUUUAUAGAAAUGAACUUUACCAAAUUAGUACAUAUGUUUUUCACUCAACGGAACUUAUCGAUUCUUGACUUCCAACAAACACGAUCUUUUUCGCUAUUCUCGCACCCUCAGUUUGCUUAAAGAGUGGGCUCUAAUUCAAGAACCGAUCACACAAUGACUACAUUUAGAGUGGUGUGUUGUUUACUUAUCCCAUAGUCCAUUUUUAUAAGGAAAAUCCACAAAAGUUCUAUUUGAAUAAGAGGAGACAAAAAUAAUACAAUUUUAAUAAAAAAAACACGAACUCCCAUUUAGACAUCACAUGGUGAGUGGCACACACAUGAUGAAUAUUCCAAUAUGCUACCCACCAUAAUACAAGUGGGCUUUAUUAGGUUUUUCUUGUAUUUGGUACAACUAUAUAUUUGUUAUAUAGUCUUUAAAACAACUUAUAUAAUUUAUCCAACUCAAUACUAGUUUUAUGCUCUCAAAAUAUUAUUUAUUUAAUCAAUUAAAACAAAUUUAAUUAUUUCUCUCAAUUAAAUUAUUGGAUAAACUAUACCCACCGUCACUAAACUAUUAGUACAUUUACGUUUUGGUCACUCAACUUUAAAAAGCUAUAGAAUGGUGGCUGAACUAUUUAGAAGUUCUCAUUUAAGUAAUUGGGUUGUUAAAAUUACUACCGUAUGGCUUUUUUUGUUUGCCCCAUCUGCACCAAUCGAAAGCUUUCCUUCCCAUUCCCUUCUACGAUUAAGUUUUUUUUUCUCAUGAAACAACUUUGAACACUACAAAUCUACGAACCAAAAUCCAAACAAUCUUCUUUUCUAAUCUCCGACAAUGACUAUUAGAUCGACUUGGAUCUAAGAUAUGUUAUUAUACUUGUCGAUGGGUACUAAUCCACAUAUCGUUCAUCGAAACAUUGCUUGAAGCUUGUUAGCCAAACUUUUUUUUAAAUAACUUAAUAGCCUAGUGACUUAAAAAAACUUUUAAAUAGUUUAAUAACUUAAAUGAAAACUUUAAAAUAAUUUAGUGAUCAUUCUAAAAUUUUUUAAAGUUUAAUGACCAAAACAUAAAUUUACUAACAAUUUAAUAAUAUUAAUGUAAUUUAACCAAUUUUAUUUAAAAUGAUGAUAUAAUAUACAAUUUCAACUUUUCAUUGGGUGGUAAAAGCUAACAAAUCCAUAAUCAAACAUACCUAAGUAAAUCAAUGUUUUAUUUUAUUGGGGAAGUUUUAAAAUUACAAUAUUUAUACCAAACAUGCUAUAAACUUUGCACAGCAUCAACAAAGAAACCCUAAAAGCAGAAGAGUUCCUAGUAGUGAAGUCUUCUAGAUCCUUCCUAAAAUAUAAUAUUUUAUAUAUCUAUCCCACAUUCUGGAUUCUUCUACCUCCCCGCCCCGAACCCUCCAGAGCGGCCCCUCCCACCCAGUUGCUUCUUUUAAGCUCUCCCUUCCAUUAUUAUCCUCACAUCUCUCUCAAUCCCUAAUACACCCUCGUCUUGAUUUUUUCAUCAAUGGCCAAGUACGGCGAAGGCGACAAGCGCUGGAUCGUGGAGGAAAGACCCGACGGUGCUAACGUCCACAACUGGCACUGGGCUGAAACCGAUUGCCUCCCCUGGUCGAAAAUGUUCUUCACCAAAUCGCUUUCGGAUCUCACCAUCCUUGACGGCCAAGGCAAUCUCCGCAUCAAGACCAAGAAGAUCGAAAAGGUC
rnacentral:lncRNA from 1 species